AUGAAUGGGUUAGAAUUUAGAAUUUAUAGUAAAAUAAAAUGAUGGUGCUUAGGAUUUAAUAUUAAUGUUUGAGAUUUAGUAGUUAAUGUUUAGGGUAUAAUAAUAAUAAUAUUUAUGAAUAAUUUUAUACAGCUUCAUGUAAAUAUAUCGAAUAUCGGAUAUAUGCUGACAAAGUUUAACUUUUUAUAUUUAUUUUUGCAAAAGUCAUAAUAUUUUUAAAUAUACUUUUGCGGUUAGAAUUCGUUGAAAAAUUAUAGUUAAUCAUAGAUAAAAUACUUAACUCUGGUUAGUGAAUAAGAUAAAUUAAUUUUUUUUUACCCAGGAUUAUUAUGACAAAAAUGACAUUUCAAUUAAAAAGGAAGAAGAUGACCGUUGGUUUGGUAGGACAUUCCUACACAAUUCUAGUAGGUGGGGUUUUUGAAGAGACAUAUUUAUGAUGACAAAAAUAUUUUUUCACUUAUCUUCUGUUAAAUAAUAAAUAGUGAUUUAACAGUAACAAAUCAGAGAGAUAAAUAUGAAUGCCAUUGAACUUUUGCAGGGAUAAAUAUUGAAAAAUUAAACUUUGUAGCGAUAUAUUUGUGAUUUGAUAUAUUUACUGGAAGCUAUAUGAAAUUAAUCCUAAUAUAAAAUCACUUUUCUAUCCGACUCAGCCAAACGCUCAAUAGCUUUUACCAGAAAUUUAUUUUUCCAAAUCAAAAUCAAUUAUAUAGAAAUCACUUUUUCAGAAUCUAGAUCAAACGGGCCCUAAGUGUGAUCAGUAAGAUCUGUGAACCCGAUCCAUGCAAUAAAUUCCCCAAAGCAAAAAAAAAAAAAAAAAAAAAAAAAAAAAAAAAAAAAGCAAAAACGUUUCGACCACGUGGCCUGUCGUCUGACAUGUGGGACCCACAGAUGCAGGGAGAUCUCGCCGUAGUCUUCUCCGGUCGGCGCGAACCGCGCGGGGUUUGUCGGUUCACCCCGCCCAAAAAAAAAGAAAAAAAAACCGGACGAGUCUCCGGUCCGAGGAGAAAUUUCGAACCGGUUCUGACAAAAAACCCCCCCUUUUUUCGUUUCAAUUAUUUUUUUUAUUAAAUUAGGGAUAAUAUCUAGACCCGACAAUCUCUAUCGGUACCCACAAAUUAUCCAUAAAUUUGCGGAUAUAAAUACUAAUUUUUUUACUCAAAAAAUUAUGGAUAACAAAGUGGUGAGUAUUUUGCGCAACCUGCGGGUACUCACGGGUACCCAUAUAUAUAUUUUUUAAACUAAAAAAUAUGUAAUUUUUUUAAUAUUGUCUCUAUAAUGAUAAAAAUUUUAUUAAUUUUGUAUUAUGAAAAUUUGGGAUGGUAAAAUACUUUUAUAUUAUGUAAUUUAUGUAUAUUUAAGAUUUUAUAUUGUUUAUUAUAUUUUAUGAUAUUUCAAAUAAGGAAUUAUGUUAUGUUUUAAAAAAUUUUAUAUAUGUGUUUUGUAUUUGAAAAGUAUAGGAGUAAAAAAAAAAAGAAAAUUCGCAGGUAACCCACGUAUCGACCUGCCUGCAUGGAGGGUAUGGAUAAAGAUAUUGAUUAUUCAAAAAUUUAAAAGUGAAUUUUACCCACGGGUAGCUCAACUCAUCCUUUUGUCAAAUCUAACAAUAUCUAAUUACCUUCCAAAACCUCAAAAAUAUCUAAUAGAUCCCUGUUUUACCAAACUGUCCUUAUUUAUUUUCAAAAUUUUCUUCAAAAUAUUUCCAAAUCUCUAGGAUUUAGUAAUGAAAAUUAGGGUUUAGAAGGAUAAAUAAAUUAAAGAAAUAUUGAAUAAUAGUCGGAGGUAAAACAGGGAUCUAUUCAAUAAAUUAUAUAUAUAUUUUAAAACUAUAAGGGGGAUGACAUUUUGACUAAAUUUGUACGUCGCGAAUGUGAAAGUAAUGUAACAGUAUUGUAAUUGAUGGCGUAUGUGACAAUAUUUAAAAUUUCACAUUACUUUUNUAAAUAAGUAAAAUCUCCAAUAAAUUAUAUAUAUAUUUUAAAACUAUAAGGGGGAUGACAUUUUGGUCCUUAAAUUUUAGUAUAUUAUAGCUCUUAACUUAUCCUUUUUGAAUUGGUACUAUAUAUUAAGUCUCACAAACAAUCUAAUUUGUUUGACUAAAUUUGUACGUCGCGAAUGUGAAAGUAAUGUAACAGUAUUGUAAUUGAUGGCGUAUGUGACAAUAUUUAAAAUUUCACAUUACUUUUAUAUCAACGAUAGGUUAAUAUUUAGUUAAUUAAAUUAGGUUGUGAGAUUUAACUGUAAUAAUUUAUAAAGCUUGAGAACUGAGAACCACAUUUAUAUUUUUGUUUCUUAAACUAUGAGACGCGUGAUGCUGCGAUUCGCAUUUAUAUUUUUGUUUCUUAAACUAUGGGAUGUGUGAUGCUCUAGUACGCAAACUUUAAUUCGCAUAAAAAUUUUAGCUUAAUCUUUGUAGAUAUUCGCAAUAAGAUACUACAAUUUAAUUAAAUUAAUUGAACUAUGAUGUAUUAUUGAUGUAUAGUAACGUGACAUUUUAGUCAUUAUUAUAUUAUUAAUGACUAGUGAAAGGACCCACGCUGCUUUACAGCGGGUAGAAACUAUAGGUGUAAUUAAUAAUAAGAAAGUAUCAAAUAUUUUCUUGUUUACCUUACUUGCCACACCCACUAAAGGUUCCUCAGUAUUGGCGACGGGGAUGGGCCUAACAACGCCUUCUUUAGCGAGGGUGAUAGUGAUAGCGACGCUGAUCCCUUUAGCCACGACGAAAGGGGGAAACAUUAGUGAUAGAGAGGGAGGGAGAGACGGAGGGAGGCGACGGUGUACAAGAAAAAUAUGAGGAAGUGAAAAUUGAUGAAUUAAUCAGAGAUGAAGAGGUGGGGAUUGUAAAUAGCAACGAAUCCGUUUGGAUACAUUAAUUGAAAGUCUAGUGGAGGAAAAAGGGAGGAUCAUAAUGAAUUAAUUAAAAAUAAAGAAAUAAGGAUUGUAGGUGCCGGUGAGACCAUUUAAAUUCAUUAAUCGGAAGUUUGAUAGUAGAGCCAUUUAGAUGCAUGAAUAUAUGCAUUUAAUUGAAAGUUUGGUGGUAGGAAGGAGAAGAAUCAUAUGGAAGUAAAGGGUGAAGGAGAACUUGUCACGUAGUAAAAAAUAUUAAGAAAUUUAUAUAGGUUAAUAGAUCAUACUGUCAUAAUGUGAUCACCAAAAGUGUAAUUUACCUUUUUAUUUUUUAAAAUCAACUUUGUUUUUUAUCCAUUUUUUUUAAUCAAUCAUAAUUUUUUUCUUAGAGAUAGAUAGCAUGCUGCCCGCUUCGUUUAUUUCAUUUAGAAAUAAACCUAGCUACAAAUGUGAAUCAACUAGGAUUCGAACUUGGGACCUUGGGUACCAACCUCCUAACCGGCCCUUUGCCACUUGCGCUAGGGACGGUCGGUUUUAAUCAAUCAUAAUGUGAGGACAAAAGUGUAAUUUGCACUCGGGCUCCAUUUUACCUACAAACAAAAUUGACUUUUCGCAGCAAUUGUUUUGGAAAUUUGCGGUAGUUGUAACUGUUGUUAAUUCAAUUACAUGCAAUAAGUAAUCACUGUUAAUUCAAUUACCUGUAGUAACUCAUUAUUCUUGAUUAAAAUAUCAGAAAAUAUUUUCUAACAAAAUUUGAACUUAUUUAAAUCAUUCUUGGCCAUGAAACAGAAAACUACAUCCAAUCAACCGCUGAAACACUCAAAUUUUUCGAUGGCUUGAUAAAUGAGUAUAAUUAGACUUGUAAUGGAUUGAUAAUAUACAUAAAUUUGAUUAGUUUUAAUUUGUUUGGAACUAUCAAUGAUGAGAUAUUGAUCUCUAAGUUAUUCUUUUAACGAGCUUAGACUUUUAUAUUUUCGCUAAUUUUUCGUACGAAUAACAAUGAAUUGUCCAAUAUAACAGGUUAUCUGAUCAUAAUAUAGUCUCCAUGAAGGAUGACUUAAUAUCUUGCUAUAUACAUGCAUUACUUAUUAGCAACAAAUUGUUUGGACAUUGUUUGGAUUGAUGAAAUAUUGAUUCUUUAACUCAUUCUUUUAAUGAGCUUGUCACCUCCUAACAUGUUUGAAUUUACAUUCAUUUCUAGCCCAAUAGUAUUGCAAAGAACAGAUGAUUACAGAAGUGAGUAAGAGAAACUAGGGGAACAAAUGAAAGAUUAUCUGCAGAUAAAAUCAUUCACAUAGUAUUGAAGAGUCUUUUGCUUAGGUUCGCUAUCGAAUACCUGUUAAUCUUUGCUAGUGAUCUCUCCGGAUGCUUCGCCGUUCGUCGAGAUGUCGCUGCAAAAGUUAGAAGUGGCUUUCAUAGGAGAGAACUGGCAGUAGGCGGUGAGUAGUUGCUGGUGAAUUUCCUCCAUUUUCCCGGACUGCUCAUCUUCUCUGUCCAUAUCAAUGAGAUCCUAGAGGCAACAACUUCUCAUUUCAGUACAAAAACAUUUUCAGUUUAUGGACAAAUAAAGUGAUAUCUGUGUUAUUAUAUGCCAUUCUUGUAUAAAGCAUCAAAUUCUUAGUAAUGCCAUGUCUGGCUUAUGGUAAUGUUGCAUGAUCUGCUUGAAUAGAUCGGUUGAAAAAUAAAUCACUUUCUAGAUUAGUGAUAGCCCAUCCAGCAACUGCUUUCUACAGUAGUCAAAGUGGAAGUUUCAAAUUUAAGUUUCAGAUUUUAGAUUGCAGUAUCUUUCUACCCAAAAGAGGGGGUUUGGAUUUAUGUAAUUGCGAUUGGCCGUAAGCCAGGUUCGGUCCCAACGUGAUGCACAAUCUAGUCUAGACAUGGGUUUUAGAAGCUGUUCCAGAAGGCAAGCCAACAAGCCACUAGGCCAGAACAGAUAGUUUGAUUCAUAGGAUAAUGGCUGGUGCCACAGCUCAACCAUAGCAAUUAUCUUUUAACCUACCAGGAUUAGUUCAAGGAAAGAGCAUAACACACAAAAAGAAAAUUUAAGAAAGAAAGGAAACCUGUGCAGAGAAGCUCCUGAAUAUGGGAUAAAAGCGUUGCCUACAGUACUCGCUGAAAAGGAUUGUAAAGAUCAGUAGAAGAAUGGUGAAAGCCAAAGCUACUGAGGAAUGCUUUAUGCCGAAAACCCCGAUGGCUAUGAUCUGGGUAAGCAGUAGAGAGAACACAGUGGUGUUAUGCACUAUGGGCCAUAUUCUUCCCACUGUCUCGUAUUUGGAGCAGUAGACAUUCAGAAUCUGCUAAUUUUAAAUGUAAAAUCAUAAGAUUAGUGUAUGUUGGAAAUCACUGUUUUGACGAGGAGUAGCUAGGAACAAGUGUUUGCAAUGCACAUUAAUGUAUGCACAUAAGAUCUUAUCAUCUACAUUCAAUUAAGAGCUGUCAAAUAAGUCCAAAUGUUACGACGUGCAUAAACUUAGAAGCCCGUGUUCAAAUGUACAUUGCAGAAGACAAUAAAGAUAGAGUUAAUUGCAUACAGCUCCCUGUAAACGUAUCGAAUAGCAAAUAUAUCCUUACAAUGUUCAACUUUUCAUUUUUAUUCCUGCAAAAGUCUAGUGAUUUUCAUAUUUGCCUCUCUGGUUUGUUACUGUUAGAGCACUAUUUAUUUUUUUAACAGCGCAUAAGUGAAAUGACAUUUAUGCCCUUAUAAAUAUAUCUCUCCAAAAGUCCCAAUUGGUAGAAUUAUAUAGAAAUGUCCUCCAAAAAAAUUAUUUUACCCAAUAAUAUAAGAGAGAUAAAAAGGUCAAUUUAACUCAUUCAUUAACCAGAGUUAAGUAUUUUAUUUAUGUCUAAACUAUAUUUUUCUGACGGAUCCUAACAAUAAGGAUAUAUUUCGAAACGUCAGGACUUUUGUAGGGAUAAAAAUAAAAAGUUGAACUUUGUAGGGAUAUAUCUGCAAUUCGAUAUGUUUACAGGGAGCUGUAGCAAUUAACCCAUAAUUGUAACUUGUGGCAGAAUAAGACUGCAAAUGUUAAUCUUGCAUAAACUAACAUACUUGGUCAUGAAACCUUUAGCCAGCAUCAUGUCCUAAGGCAUCUCAUGUCUCAUUAUUAACUCUUAGAGCUAUCCUUGGAAUUCAGUUGAGCUAUUCAAUUAAAUGCUCAGAGUCUUACUUAGAAUUUCAUAAAUACCAAUUAAAUCCUCCUUAGAUUACCAUCUGAGAAACAUCAGUAUCAUUAUUAGAUUUUGCUGACAUGGCAUUUUUUUUUUAGUUUGGUCCUGCUUGAUGAUGAUGUUGAUAUUAAUUUCGUUUAGAUUGUAGACUAGUUGACGACAUAUUUGUAUCAUGGGAUAAAUUUCAUGGACUAAAUUGUUAAAGACACCAAUCAAAGGACUUAUCACCAAUCAAAGGACUUUUAUCAGUGAUAUUUUAUAAUCAUGCUGCAAACUAAAUCGUCAGCAAUAGCAAGUGGCAAAAUUAACCAAGUUAAUCUACGUAGUCCAUGCUGCAGUUAGAAUAUUAAAUCAAUGAUUUUUUUCCCAAAAAUAUACACAGAUUGAAGUAAAUAUUGUCUGAAUGUAACAAUAGAGUGAAAAGACAUAGAAGCACAAACUGAUAAAAAACCAUCACCUGGUUGCGAUACACCACAUAACCAAGACAGAAGUAUAUGAGCAGAAAAGGGAGUAUCAGAGGUGCCAAUAUGGAACAGGUGAAACCAAGCAAACCAAACAAGAGAACCUUUGGAACUUCAGUGUGAUAUGGAAAGGAUGGAAUUGAGUCUGGAUCAUCCUUACAUCGAAGUAUAUAUUUUGUCACAAAGUUAUAGGUUAGUGAAAAGACUUGCAUAAUCUCAGAACAUAAACUUGCCCAGCCAGACGUUAGAACGUAAGUAAUGAAAAAUGUUGCCUGUAUUCACGAACAGAAUGAGCAUUAGCUGAUAAAUCAAAUGUUUUCUAUCAAUAUGCUCACAAGGAGCUGCUGUGCCAACUAAUACUGCAUGAAAGACAACGCAUACAGUAUGAGUUGAUGAAAACCUAUAUUACAGAGGAGUUACAAAACGAUCCAGUCCUAGAAGUUUAAUCCAUAUUUCAAUUGUGUCGUACACCUUCAAUUUAAACUAUCUAGUUGUGAAGUUUGUUAUAGGUCACAAUUUAGUCCUUUUGAUAGUCUACCAUCUAAAAUACUGCCAUAUCAGCUUCAUGUUUUGUGUGGUCUUUUAUUUGACAGUAGACUUAGGACUUCAUAGUUACACCCAACAAAAUUCAGGGGCUAAAUUCAAAUUUGGGUCAACUUUAUAAGACACUGUUUAAUCUGCAGAAAACAUGGCCAAGAUUUUACACACUCCAAAUUUGCAAGAGCUAUUAACUCAGCAAAUGAAUGUUAUUUUGUGCAAAGAUAUCUAAUGUUCAGGAUAUGCACCAUAUGGAAGAAAAGCGAAUAUUGUUUUGUGCAGUGAAAUAUAAUGAUAUCAAGAUGUUCACCAUCAUGGAAGAAAUCUAAGCACCUGCUUGGGUACAGCUUCAGCAAGCUGGGAGGGUAUGUCUUUGGGUCUGGAGAUGGCAUUCAGCUGGUUAAUGACAGAACCAGAUAAGACAUUUACGAAAAAGACAUUCCAAAUGGUGAAGUAUAAUACUUUGCAGCACGCGCUCUUUUUCCUCCCACUGUGAGAAAUAGGUCCUUCCACAGCAGAAAAUAGCAUCAUCAUCGGAGGAACGGUGUAGAAAAAUAAGAGCAAAAUGACACUUGGUAGAUAGCCUGACACAACCUUGAUAACCAAAGGCCUGUACAUUGGCAUUCGAACAUUAAUUAUUAAGCUUCUAACCCUUCCACGAGGACACUUGCAUUUUAGAGAAACUCUAUUUGAAAAAUAAUAAUGUCUCAUUCAACAUUAAAUGAAAAUAUUCAUGGCUGUACAUUGCAGAAGAACAAGCAGGACACAUGCCAGGCGAUUACAAUACAUUAGAAACCACCAUUCUGCAUAAUGAUGUACUUGCGAGAAGUGAUGUCAACCCACUACCUAUAUUUAACAACAUUCACACUAGAUUACAUUUGUAUAAAACUGUAAUAUGCAACAGUUCAUAUUCUGAAAACCAAGAAGCUAAUUCAUAUGCAUGUCUAUUUCUUUGAUAUAGAUUUAGACAGGACAAUUAAUCUUAAAAAAAUAUUUCCUUUUUUUUUUUUUUUGGUACCUCUUUGUUAUCCUUCUAUCCUCCAAAAUAAACAUGAACAGAGUCAGCUAACAUCAGGAGAAAAUGGUAACGAUGAGGAAUAACUAGUUUGGUAUAUCGGGGAUAAAGGUAGGGUCAAAACUAUUCUGGAGGAAGAGCUGAAAUGUUGUUCCCAAAUUAUUAUAGAAUAACCGAGUUAAAAAAUAAACAACUGAUCCCCUCUGAAAGUUUGUCUAAGAUGAGAAUAGCUCGGGUUAUCCCUCCGCUGGCCCUAAAAAAAUUGCUGCCUAAUACAACUAUUAGAAUCAUACCUUUCUAAUUAUCAGUCAGUCAAAUGAUCUACUUAAGCAUAGGCGAUUGUAGGAAGUUUGCUAAGAAAGCCCAAAGCCACUUGUUGGGGUUCUUAUCAAAAUCUCAAAUGCUUAUUAGUUGAUUGCAAAAGCUACAAACAAAGAGGCAGAAAUGAAAUGAGAAAAAUUCAAAAAACAUGGAAGAACAGAUACGCUAACUAAUAGAGAAAUUACAAACUAUUUCUCUCCUUCUACAGAGUAGCUUCAACACUAAACCCUCCUUUUAUUUUAUUUUAUUUUAUUCAAUCUCUCUUCUUAUCUCUCUACAAGGUUAUUGCUCAAACCCGCCCUGAAAGCACCUCUUCUGACACCUCUUUCACCAAUAGAAUCUGUCACCUCCAAUAGAUUAGCCUAAUUAAUGCUAAUAACAGGUGCUAUUACCAGAGCACCAAAAGAUGAAAAAUAACAGACAAAUAAUUUCAUCAUGUAAUGCUGUCAGACAAACAGACUUUCAGUUGGCUUUGGUUAAUAACUUGAAUUAGGAAAAAAAAAAAACAAAAGAAAUUGAUGAAUGAAAAACCAAAACGGUGCCUCGAAAAAAAAAGCUAAUAGAAUACUUACUUCUUGAAUAUACCUUUAAAAAAUGGGAAGAGUUGCUGCAAUUGGUCCAGAUGGGUUAGACCUUGCACAAAUGUGACGGGAAUAAGAAACACAAACAUGAAAACGACACUGGCUACGAGAGUUAAUAUACGACGGAUCCAAAGCUGUCUGUACGGAAUCCAAAGGUUUGACCAAUAGACAUCAUUCGGCUCUGGUGCCAAAUUCGUCACCCAUAACAUGGGAUUCGAUGAUUGAAGAACUUGUGAAGCAACGAUUGCUGCAUAGCGUGUCUUGAAGAAUACAAAAGCAGCUGAACAGUCCUGUUUAGGAAAUAUUACGAAUCAAUAUUGCUUUUCUACCGCAUGGCUUAAUUAAAACUACUUGCCAUACCUCAAAAUUAGUAAUACAUUCUACAUACAAUUCAACUAACUCUAUCAUCAAACUGAAAGAGAACAUAGUAACUAAUGCUUUGGUUAGAGAUUUUCCAGUUCAAGAACAUAGUGCAGGGCGUAGUUAUGCAAUGUAGCUUUUUUAAGUAGCUUAUUGAUGCAAGAUUCAUAACAAGUUGCAAGAUGAAAAUGAAGAAAAGAAUUUCUAACAUUGAAGUAAAAUAAGAAAAAGUCCCCAACAACAAUCAAGUUCAAAAGAAAGAAACAAACAGAAUAGAUGCAUGAUUGAGAGCGAAAAUUGAAGUUGUCAUAAGCAGCUAUCAAAUGACAUGGGGCUAAAUCCAGAUACUAGACAGGAAAUUCCAAGAGUCAACUUUAAUGUUCCUCUUCCCCUGAUUUAGACACAUAUGUUUGGAUAAAACAAUAGAAGUUUACAUGGACAGCUUGUUGUUAAGGAUAUAUCUAGUCAUCAGUUUCAUCUUGUGACUGCUGCAAUUUAGAAUGCGAAGAAAAGUACUUACUCAACUUUUUACUCUUUUCCAAAGGAAUUUGAUGAAUUUGGCAAAUAAGGCUAAAUAGAAUCUGAGAUCCUUGUGGACAAUAGCCAAUAAUUUGUACUAGCCCCGAGAGUGUUAUUAAUCAUGGUGAUAUUGCAAAUCAUCAAGAGCUAAUACCUCUUCCUUCCAGCCGAACUAGCUCUUACUUCUCUAUAAGAUUCAUCUGCCUAUUAUUAUUGACUAUCCCACCAGAAAUUUUGUCAGGAAGGUAUCUGAGAAUAAUAUGAUGGAUGGGUAUUCUAAGGCAAUUGAAAUUAAGCUUUUAUACCUUUAGAUUAACUAUUCUGAGAAAGCAAGGUGCACCCAAUAAAAUCAAUGAUUAGUGACUUUCCAUCUUGUAUGGCAUACCUUUCCUCCUAACACUUUUGCAUUGUCACACUUUUGUCAUCCUUGGGUUCUUUGAUUCUCCUUGCCCUUGUUGGACAUAAGGGACUUUAAAGCCCAAACCUACGAAGCAGAUUCGAGAUGAUAUAGUAGACUAAAUCUGCAUAACAUGCUUUGUGGCAUGGUUGAAUCAUUUGUAAAGAGUAGAAACAGUUGAUUGCAUUUUUAAUAAAACAAUAGUACCAAUUCAGAGUCCUAUUUUUGCAGCUAGUGAAAUUUAUUCUAAGCCAGACUAAAUAGUUAUUAACCCUCUCAACAUAUGGCUUUUUUAUUUAGUGAUCAAAGUACACAAAGCAAACAAUACAAUAACACCAGAUACAGCAGCAAGAAAGUUCAGAAUAGAUCUGCAUACGAGUCAAAGGUAGAAUAGAAAAUACAACAGAAAUGCAGUAGUAAAAGAUGUUACAAAAAUAAAAAAAACCUUUUGCUCACUGAUUAUAUCUGAGCUGGUACAGUCUGUCUUUUUAGAGUCAAACUCAAAUUCGUUACGGUAGAGGUGAAAAUUAUUAGGUUUUCCUCCACAAAGUCCACAUCUAUAUAUGCUGGGUUUGCCAUUCUGAUCAAAAGCAGUGAGCUUUAGGCGUACAAACUUCUUAUAAACCUUCUCUGCAUUAGACUGCAAGUAGAAAAGUUCGAUCAAAAGUUAAUUAUCCCAUAAUAACCAAAUUAAGGUAAGCUUAUCAGUUAUGAAUUUUUCCGCACUAUAUUGACCGAGUAUUAAACUCUCACCAUAAUUAACUGAACUUUCCCACUUCGGUAUAUCAUUUGGUGCGACAAGUAACUCGAUCCAUGAUAAUUAACAAAGAAGUUUCUGAUAAUAUCUCCAAACUGUUCAUUUUUCGACUUUGGGAUGGCACGAACCAGAACUGAAAAAUGGCUAGGAUUCGGAGGAGAUUUAGUUAUGUGAGCAAGCCUCAUUCUGGAAAUUCUUUUGUACUCCUAAACAUCAUAAAUAGAAAUUAGCUGUAAACUUGUCAUGAAGGUACUUAGGGCACAAACUAGAAGGAUUCUCAAUGACAUGGACCCAUCUAAAACAAAUUCUUACGUAGUAAAGAAGAAUACAUGCUGAGCAAGUUAUUAUGUACAGUGCAAGGCAAUGAACCCAAAGCCUGCAAAACAAAAUGGAGAUCCCCAUUAGUAGCUGCUCUAAUCCAGAAUUACUUUAUCCUGGCCAAUGAUUUCUGCAACAAAUUACAGCAAAUUCUAGUAGAAAACUACAUGAAAGUUUAGUGAAGAGAAAAUUUGAAAGUUUAGCACACUUUACAGUUAGAUUAUCACAUUUUAGUGAGAGAGAACAAAACUUCAAGCUGAAUAAAAUUAACUACAAAUAUGCAAAAGACAACAAUAGGAUAUAAAUUUAUAUAUAAAACUAGGCUACUAUACUAUCUAUAGUACCAGGGUUCUGGUAUUAAAGUCUUGUUUUCGAUCUUAAAGUGCUCAAAUUAAUGAUCCACAAUAUUAAAUAUGAUCUAGGGUGUAUGAAAUUCUUAGGUAUAAAAUUUAUAUUUUUCUCGACGUUGUUUACUUAGCAAAUAAUGUCAAAAUGAAUGGUAAAAAUUGAAUAAUCUUUAAAAAAAAAAGAAGGAUAUGAAUUUUAAAUUCAAGAUCAAGGAUGUCUACCUUGAUCUAGAUAGUUCAAAAUAUUUUCUAUCAAAAUUUGAAUUAAUUUAAAUUCUUCUACACCGUUAAACUACAAACUCGUCAUAGUAGCCAUUAAAAAUUGGCAAUUUUGAAAUAAUUUCAUCAUAAAAUAAACGAUGCCGAAAAAAUAUGAAAUUUUAUUUCUUAAAACUUCAAUUACCCUAUAUUAUAUUUAAUAGUGUGGAUCGUUGAUUUGAACAUCCUAAGGUUGAAAACGAGACUAGUAGUGCGUCGGUACUCUAGAUAGUAUAGUAACUGUGUGUGUGUGUGUGUUUAUUUCUUAUAGGCUUGCGAUUCAAUAAGAAAAACAAUUUUUCUACACUCUAGCAAUAAUCGCACUAAGCUUGCAUAACCACCAGCUUUCAUGAAUGAAUCUCUGCUUUACUAACUGAUACAUGAGGAUAACUUGAAUCCUUACCAUCUUGACCCAUCUUUGACAUUUGCGAUGGUAAAUACAUCCAAUGGUUCUGAAGGAAUAUGUUUGUGACGCAUUUCUUGUCCAAAAUAAUUAACAGGAAGUACCCCAAACGCACAAACGAAAGCAGCUAUAGAGAAGAUACGUAUGCUGCAUGAAUAAAAGAAACAACCAAAUCUCAGUAUAAUCAGAUAUCAAGGGAAUAAUUACAAUCUUAACCAGUUUCACAAAUGAUAAAUUAGGGGAUUCAGCACAAUCUCACUGUUGGGCACCAAGCAGAAGCAAACACAAUCAGAUUAGGUUGCCUAUUCGUCCAUGUUUAAGGGUACUGGCGUUAGAACUGGUGGGCCAGGUGGAUUAGGGAUUGACUAGAAAACAUAGAAUUAACCCAAUUUAGAGCUAUACUAUCUUAAAAAGAAUCUUGUUUUGAUAAUUCAUCAUAGUAGAACUUUUAAAGUAAAAUUUUUUAAAAAAUCCGCACAAGCCUACUAGAUAAGAGUGAGUUGGAUGGCUUCGACUCUUCCAAUUAAAUUUCUGUACUGGUUGCUUUCUUCCGGUGAAUUUCAUGUUUGUGUGUGUUUUCCUUUGAUUUGAUUCGCAAAAGUUGUGCAGAGUUUGCAAGCGUAUUGUUCCAUUUCUUGUGUUUACUUAAUUGGACUCUUUCAAAGACAGGAGUUGUCUCAUCUGAGACUGCUACAAGAAAGCGAACAUGGUAUAGUUUAAAAUAAAUGCCAAAUCACUGACAAAACAAACCUCAAAGAGUAGCAGAAUUAAAACUAAAUAAACAUAGCACUGCUUACACUACAGGACAUGAUCAAAAAAGCAUAAAUCACUGUUAUCUUGAGUACGUUGGCUCCAGUACUCACCUAAAAACGAGUAUCCGGAGGAACACCACAGCGUCCAAACCAGCAGCCUGGAGGAUCUCAUCUUCCGUGAACUGCCAUGCUUUUACUAUCCAGGUCGGCGAAGGCACUAAUCGCUCCAAGGUGAACGGGUCCUGGAGCCUGCUAUGCUCUUGGGCGAGUCUCCGCCCAAAGUACACAUUCACAUUCCCCGGCUGCUUCCGCAAGACCGAGUACAGCGACAAGAAUAGCAAGCACAGGCCGAUGUUUAUGCCGGCGGACGUAAGCAGAGCAGAGAUUUCCAUCUCCGUCUCUUCCUAUCCAUCAACAAGUCCGACCAUUUGCCGCGUAAACGACAGCGCAAUGCAGUUUCUUACCAAUCCCCUGAAGAACGAAUCGCCAGCGAUUUACGCAAAAAAUGAGUUAUCUUGCUCAUUAAAACUAUAUCGGCCUUCGCAGGUUAAAAAAUCACACUUUGCAGCUUAAUUUACGUUCAAAUAGUCCAAAAAAUCUAUGCUUUUGAAAGAUAAAGAUCACACAUUUCAUCGAGUACUACAAGGGCAUUACUCCACAGAGUUAAGAUUCUGGAAAAAUGAGUAUUAUCAAUCGAUCUCAAACCAAACUAUAAUAAAAUUCCAGAUCAAAAUAAUCGCCCUCAUAUAUAAAAAAACUAGAAGAUGUUUCUCUAAUUGCUAUGUGAUUGGUAUCGGAGGAGAUACAAAACCCUAAUAAGAAGAACACAGAGCGAUUUGAAUUGGGGAAUUAAUAGAUAAAAUUGAGAGAUCGAUGUAGGAAAUGCGACGUAAUUACCCGAUUAAUCGACGAAAUCUACGCCUCGAUGCGGCGAAAUUGGGGCCUAAUUCGUGCGAACGCGAUGUGAUUUUGGGGGCGAUGUGAUCGAAUUAGGGAUUUGAGGAGAGAGAGAGAGAGAGAGAGAGAGAGAGAGAGGAGGAGAACGUCGAAGGGGGGCGAUUUGAGUUGGCCUCGGCGGGAGCGCGACGCGUGUCGGUUUCUUAUUGGCCGAGGAAGUGGCGAGGAGAAUCUGCGCGGCGUCCGCAUGGCGAUUGUCGUGCGAGAAUCGGUAUCAGCCGUUGAGUCUUGCUUUGAGAUUCGUGUAGUCGCGAUUGGUGGGGGGAGCAGAGAGCGAUUUGGUGCGGGAGCGGGGAUGGACGUUUGCGGUGGGUACUCAACUGCUUAUAACCGUCGGAACGUGGGUCCCGCCACAUUUCUUUACAUUAUUAUUAUUAUUGUUAGGAUAAAUUGUUCCAACGGUUCUCAAAGUAUCAUUCCGGUGACAUUUUAGUUCUCAAAUUUUAAUUUAUUAUAAUUUUUUAAAAUUUUUAAAAUUAUUACAAUCAAGUCCAAUAAUUCAAUUUAGUUGACUAAAUAUUUUUAGCGCAUCACAAAUUACAAUACUGUUACAUUACUUUUAUAUUAGUGGUACAUCUAUUUAAUCAACUAAAUUAGAUUAUUAGACCUGAUUAUAGCAAUUCUCAAAAUUCAUGCUAGAAAUUAUACAAAAUUAUAGAACUUGUUUAAUAGUAUUAUUAUUAUUAUUAGACGGUGAACGUUCUCAUUUUUGUCCAACAUGACAUUGAGUUGGUGAGAAGAGAAUUAGUUGGCCAAAUAAAAUUUUGAAAGAGUCAUUUGGCCAAUUAGAAAAUUUAUAAAGAUUAUAUAUAAAAUAGAGUCCUAACAAAACCUACAAAUGCAUCUUUCAACCGCGAGCAACAACACAAAAAAGUUCGUAAUCGCAUAUCUUUUAAGUAAAUAGCACUAAACUAGUUAGAUGAAUUAUAAUUGUUGCAUCUCUUAUUGCAUAUAUCUCUAAUUAUGCUGUAUUUGUAAUUAUACUGAACCAAAUGCCUGUGAGGAAGGUAAUGCUAAAAUAUGAACACCAAGAGGGACUUAAUAUUUCUCUUGGUAUAUUUUUUUUAGAAGAGGUUUGAUUUACCUUAUAUCACUACAACAAAAAUGGUCUAUAGCGACACUUUUAAAUGUCGCUACAGGUCAAAAAAAAGUGCUGCUGACUAAAUUACCGACACUUUUAAAAAGUGUUGUUAUAUGUGGAGUCGCUAGAUAUAUAGUGACAGUUAAAGAGUGUCGCUAUAACAUAAAAAGAGUGCUGCUAAUUUACUAAUACUCAUUUAAGCAUUUAGCAACCGCCGGAACACUACCUCGUUGGCUGCGGUGGCGGAGGAAGAGGAGAGGGAAGGGCUCUUCGUCUAGGAUUUUAGUGGAUUGAGCGAGGGGAGAAGGGGAGAUGACAAUCGAUUUUUUUUUUUUUCUUUUCUGUUUGUAAUCGGGUUGAAUGGGCUGGGUGGGGUUGGUUGAGUAGAAUAACAUUUUAUUUUUUGUUGGACUGGGCUUUAUACUUAAGCAUUAGUAGAUUUUUUUUUUAGUUUUGGUAUAAAUGGAAUACUUACACAAAAGUGUCUCAAACAUGUGUCGCUAUAACCUAAUUCUGUUGUACUGUAUAAAGCAAAAGUAUGUAAAGACAUGUUUCACCAACCAAGUGCAAUCAAAAUGAAGUAUUACGAUAUACCAUAUUUUGUUUACCAUAUUUGUUUUACUUUAUAUUAUGAGAAUGCUUAAUGUUUUUGAUCUUAUUGAAUUUGUAAUUGUGUGACAGAGAUCUAACUUUAUUGUGGUGGUUGAUGAUAUGAUAAUGACUAAAUGUUAUAUUAUUAUUACAUCAGUAACACAUUAUUACUCAGACAGUAACUAAAUUACAUUGUAGGACUUGAUCAUAACAAAUUAAAAAUUAUGAACCAAGGACCAUGUACAAGUAUAAGUUAUUAUAAUUAUUAUUAUUAUUUUGAGAGAGAGAUAGCAUGCUAUCUAAUUUAUUCAAAAAAUAAACUUAGGGGAUAUUAUAUUUGUCGAAAAAGCGUGGAAAAAGAAUUUCAGAAAAAAAAAGUUUUUCAUAAAGAAACUCAAUUUCAGUUUUUUGUCUAUUUGUCUUUAAGAAAAACUAGCUUUUCUGAAAAUUUAUUUUCCAAAUUUCACGGUAAAUUAAUGUUGUUUCCCAAAUUUUUUUAGGAAAACGAAAAUACAAGUUUUCAUAAAAUUUGAAAAAAAAAAGUUUUCCAAAAAACUUAGUUUUUCUUGGAGCAAAAAAGAUGAAAAACUUAAAUAGAGAUUUUCUAUGGAAAGCUUUCUUUUCGAAAAAUUUUUGUUCACAUUUUUUUGACUAACUAAACAUCCGUUAGCUGAAAAUAUAAAGCAACUAGUCUUCUUUUAAUUAAUAUUUAUUAGGGUUGGAAAGGGCUUCGAUCGUGAUCAAGUCACCCAAACCUGAGCCCAAACCGAAAAUUAUGACUAUAUCUAGACGAGACACUGUCCUAGUAAGUUUGAACAAAUUGAUGUACAACCCUACCGCCCAACACUAGAUCAGAAUCCUAAGCAGCUAAGCCUAAACCCUAGGCAUCCAAUGGUCAAAAAAUUGAUAGUAAAUACAAUUUUCAUAUUAUUAAUAACAUUCUAGUUCCUCUCUCUCUCUCUCUCUCUCUCUUUCUCUCUCUCUCUCUCUCUCUCUCUCUAUAUAUAUAUAUAUAUAGAAUUCAGCCGCUGUCCUUUUAGGAGGAUAGGGACCUUCGUCCUAUCAAAUUGCUUUUGAUAAUAGAGAUCCCGAAUAGAUGAUCGAAACCGUUGAAGUUGAUCUAGUGUAUUUAAAUUAUUUAGAAACUAAAUUUUAUAAAUUUUAAAAUUUAUUUACAUAGUGAUCAAAAGAUUGCAAAAUUGANCUUUCUUUUCGAAAAAAUUUUUUUCACAUUUUUUUGACUAACUAAACAUCCGUUAGCUGAAAAUAUAAAGCAACUAGUCUUCUUUUAAUUAAUAUUUAUUAGGGUUGGAAAGGGCUUCGAUCGUGAUCAAGUCACCCAAACCUGAGCCCAAACCGAAAAUUAUGACUAUAUCUAGACGGGACACUGUCCUAGUAAGUUUGGACAAAUUGAUGUACAACCCUACCUCCCAACACUAGAUCAGAAUCCUAAGCAUCUAAGCCUAAACCCUAGGCAUCCAAUGGUCAAAAAAUUGAUAGCAAAUACAAUUUUCAUAUUAUUAAUAACAUUCUAGUUCCACUCUCUCUCUCUCUCUCUCUCUCUCUCUCUCUCUAUAUAUAUAUAUAUAUAUAUAUAUAUAUAUAUAUAUAGAAUUCAGCUACUAUCUUUUUAGGACGACAGAGGUUUUCGCCUUCCUAAAUCGUUUUAGAUGAUAGAAAUUUCGAAUUGAUGAUUGAAACCAUUAAAGUUGAUCUAGAGUAGGGAUGUCAAUGGGUAUGGAUAUCAUAUAUAUAUAUAUAUCCCGAACCCGAAUGAAACGGAUAUAUUCGAUACUAAAUGAAUAUAGAUUUGGAUAUGGAUAUCAAAUAGAAACCCGACGGAUAUGGAUUCGAAUAUGAAUUUUGAUUGUACUCGACCUGAACCUGAACCCGACCCGAACCCGAAUUUAUUUUGUAUUUUAAAAAUUUAGAUUUAAUAUAAUGCAUUUUGAAAUAUUGGAAAAAGAAAUAAUUGUUUCGGGUUCAAAUUUUCGGGUUCGGGUUUCAGAUUUUUGAUCGGGUUCGGGUUUGGAUAUGGAUUUUAAAAAUCCAUUGGGUUCAGAUUCGGGUCUCGUUGGGUUCGGGUUUGGGUUUUUGAAAAUCGGCCCGAAUCCGACCCGUUGACAUAUCUAAUCUAGAGUAUUUAAAGCUAAAUUUUAGAAAUUUUAAAAAUUGUUAUCAAGUCCAUCGAAAAGUCAAAAAAUAAACGAUAAAAAAUAAAUAAUCUUGUGAAAAUAGAUGUUAGACUUUUUCAAUUCAUGAUCAUAGUUAUCGAAUGUUAUCUAAAUAGUAUCAAAAAUUUUUUACUAAAAAUUCAAACGGUUUGAACUGCUCUACAGGAUUAAACAAAUAAACGGCUUAUCUAUUCCAUAAAAAACUAUCGACUUUAUGAUACUUUAAUUACUAUGUAAAUAAUUUAUAAAAUUUAGUUUCUAGAUGCUUUAAAUAUUCGAGAUCAAUUUUAAUAAUUCCGAUUAUCUAUUCAGAAUAUCAUUUAAAACAAUUUAGGAGGACAAAUGCUGGAUAUAUAUAUAUAGAGAGAGAAAGAGAAAGCGAGAGAGAGAGAGAGAGAAAGAGAGAGAGAGAGAGAGGAGAGAGAGAGUCCGGCUACUAUACUGUCGAUAGUACUAAGCGCUUGGUACUAUCGAGUUUUCUAUCGUUAGAUCUACCAUUUGAUCAUUUCAUCCGUUAGAUUAUACUAUUCAACCAACCACCUACUCAAUUCUAGAGGACCACUAUCAUCUUAAUCGCACAUCUUUUCAUCCAACGGCCGAAAACUCGAUAGCACUAAGCAUUUGGUACUAUUUAUAGUAUAGUAGCAUAAUUUUCUCUCUCUAUAUAUAGCAGGGCUAUUGUGCUAUUAGGAGUACUGCAGCGCCGGUGUGCUCCUAACUUUCCAGCAUCCAUCAAUUUUGAUGGGUGGUUAGGGUGAGAGAGAAAAAAAAAAUUGAAGAGAAAUUGGGUUUCUCAAUUUCUCUUUUUCCUUGAAUUUCUUUUCAAUUUCUCUUCUCUCUCUAAUCCGAACCACCGAUCAAAAUUGAUGGAUGGUUAGAGUAAGAGAGAGAAGAGAAAUUGGAAAAAAAUUCAGGUAACAAUUAUUUUAGUAACAAUCUCAAAUUAAUAUAAAUUGUGCUCUCUCUCUUUCUCUUUGUAUAUAGUAGUUGAGUAUACGAGCAAAUGCACGUAAGAAUUAUUUUAGUAACUAUCUCAAAUUAAUGUAAAUUUCUACAUCAUAUUUAUUCAAAAGUNGUAUUAUAUAUAAUAUAUAUAUAUAUAUUUGAUGUUAUAUUUAAAUUUGUAUUUUAAAAAUUUAGAUUUAAUAUAAUGCAUUUCGAAAUAUUGAAAAAAGAAAUAAUUGUUUCGGGUUCAAAUUUUCAGGUUCGGGUUUCAGAUUUUUGGUCGGGUUCGGGUUUGGAUAUGGAUUUUAAAAGUCCAUUGGGUUCAGAUUCGGGUCUUGUUGGGUUCGGGUUCGGGUUUUUGAAAAUCGGCCCGAAUCCGACCCGUUGACAAAUCAAUCUAAUCUAGAGUAUUUAAAUCUAAAUUUUAGAAAUUUUAAAAAUUGUUAUCAAGUCCAUCGAAAAGUCAAAAAAUAAACGAUAAAAAAUAAGUAAUCUUGUGAAAAUAGAUAUUAGACUUUUUCAAUUCAUGAUCAGAGUUAUCGAAUGUUAUCUAAAUAGUAUCAAAAAUUUUUUACUAAAAAUUCAAACGGUUUGGACUGCUCUACAGGAUUAAACAAAUAAACGGCUUAUCUGUUCCAUAAAAAACUAUCGACUUUGUGAUACUUUAAUCACUAUGUAAAUAAUUUAUAAAAUUUAGUUUCUAGAUGCUUUAAAUAUUCAAGAUCAAUUUUAAUAAUUCCGAUUAUCUAUUCAGAAUAUCAUUUAAAACAAUUUAGGAGGACAAAUGCUGGAUAUAUAUAUAUAUAGAGAGAGAGAGAAAGAGAGAGAGAGAGAGGAGAGAGAGAGAGUCCGGCUACUAUACUAUCGAUAGUACCAAGCGCUUUGUACUAUCGAGUUUUCUGUCGUUAGAUCUACCAUUUGACCAUUUUCAUCCGUUAGAUUAUACUAUUCAACCAACCACCUACUCAAUUCUAGAGAACCACUAUCAUCUUAAUUGCACAUCUUUUCAUCCAACGGCCGAAAACUCGAUAGCACUAAGCAUUUGGUACUAUUUAUAGUAUAGUAGCAUAAUUCUCUCUCUCUAUAUAUUGCAGGGCUAUUGUGCUAUUAGAAGUACUGCAGCGCCAGUGUGCUCCUAACUUUCUAACAUCCAUCAAUUUUGAUGGGUGAUUAGGGUGAGAGAGAAAAAAAAAAAUUGAAGAGAAAUUGGGUUUCUCAAUUUCUCUUUUUCCUUGAAUUUCUUUUCAAUUUCUCUUCUCUCUCUAAUCCUAACCACCGAUCAAAAUUGAUGGAUGGUUAGAGUAAGAGAGAGAAGAGUAGUUGGAAAAAAAUUCAGGUAACAAUUAUUUUAGUAACAAUCUCAAAUUAAUAUAAAUUGUGCUCUCUCUCUUUCUCUGUGUAUAUAGUAGUUGAGUAUACGAGCAAAUGCACGUAAGAAUUAUUUUAGUAACUAUAUCAAAUUAAUAUAAAUUUCUACAUCAUAUUUAUUCAAAAGUUUAUAAUACAAAAUUUAAAUUUUAAAAAAUAAAUUUAUUUAUUAUACACUAUUAAAAAAAUAUGUACCUCAAAUUUAAAUUAUUAUUGCUGACAAUAAUUAUACACCUCUAUUUUUUUUAAUAAAAUUUACAUAUAGUGUAGAUAUAGAUUAGAUUGAAUAUUUUUCUAUAUUCUUGAAUUACGACGAAUCCAAAAUUUAAAUAUAUGUUUUAAACUAAUAAAAGUAUUAAAAUUUUAAUUCACUUUUUAUUUAAAAUUUAAAAUUUAAUUUUGAUCUAGUUUAAUAAAAAAAAAUUAAUUAUUAAUUCAAAUUUAAGAUCAAAAAUAAAUUUAUUUUAUAUCUACUUGAUGGACUUUAUUACUUUAAAACAUAUAUUUCUUUUAGAAUGGCAACCUAGCUAGAUAACAACCUUUUUUUUUCACUUAUUUUAAGAAAUUGUAUGCACCUUAUUUUAAGAAUCCACUUAAUUUCCUGAGAAUGACAAUCUCGAUAACAGCUCCUAGGCUGGCUAGUGAUUGCUAAUUUAAAAAUGACUGAGUGGUUCAUCUUAUUUGUCACUUUUAGGGCCUGUUUAGCCUAAAUUCUAAAAAAAUAAUUUUUGCAAAAUUAAUUUUAAUUUAAAGAAUUGGUUUUGAUUAAAAACAACAAAAUAUUUGGUUGAGUUUAGAUAAAAUGUAAUUCUUUUAAGUUAUUUUAUAAAGCUGUUUAGGAAAAAAAAUUAAUAUUUGCAAAUAAUAAAUUUAAUUUAAAAUUUAAAUUUAAAUUUAAAAUUUGAAAUUUAAUUUUAAAUCAAAUUCCAAAUUUUAAAUUUAAAUUUUACUUUGCAAAAAAAUUUAAAAAUUUGAUAUUUUAAUUUAAAUAUAAAUUUGAAAUUUGAAGUUUUAAAAUUUAAAAAUUAAAAUUUAAAAUUUAAAAUUUAGAAUGGCAAUUUUAAAUCUAAAUUUAAAAUUUUAAUUUCAAAUUUCAAAUUUAAAUUCAAAAUUCAAAAUUUGAAGUUCAAAAUUAAAAAUUUGAAUAUUAUUUUUUAAAACUUAAAAUUUAAAUUUUAAUCUCAAAUUAAAAUUUUAUUUUGUAUAUUUAAAAUUUAAAAAUUAAAACUCAAAACUAAAAUAUAAAACUUUAAAUUUUUAAUUUUAAAUAAUUAAAAUUUGUAAUUUGAAAAUUAAAACUUAAAAUUUUAAAUUUUAAAUUUUAAAAUUUUUAAAUCAAAAUUUAAAUUCUAAAUUUAAAAAUUUUAAAUUUAAUUUAAAUUUUAAUUUAAUUUUUAAAAUUUAAAUACUAAACUUUGAAUUUUAAAAUUAAAAGAUUUGAAAUUUAUAUUUGAAAUUUGAAAUUUAANAACUUAAAUCUAGAAUAGAAAUAAAAAUUUAAAUUUGAGUCUAAAAUUAGAAUCAGAUUUCAAGAAGUAGGUUUUAGUCGUUUCUGAUUUUGGACUUCCAAAAUCAUAAAACUAAUUCUGAAAAUCAUAAUUUAAUUUUCGAAACAAAGUUGCCAAACACUCUAUUGAGCUAAAAAUCGCUUCAAGUAAUUUCGUAAUCUCUAGAUCAUAAACCCUAAACCCUAAACCCUAUACGCUAUUUGCUGUGGGGGUGUGGGGUGGGGGUGGGGGUGGGCUAAUAAUUAUAUGCGUGAUCUUUAUUCUAAGAACCCCGCUUUUCUUUGGCAGACGACCUAAAUAACAAUCCUUAGGCUGUCUAUUUAGAAAUUAUUAAGUUGGUUCAUCAUAUUUGUCGCAUUUACAUUCCAUAAAUCUUCAAGUAAUUUCAAAUCUCACAAUUGUAAUAAUUAUAUAGGAGGCCUUAUUCGAAGAACCUCACUCUUUUUAGAGUGGGGGUGGUGGGGGUGCUUAAUAAUUAUAUGCAUAGGCCUUAUUUGAAGAAUCCCAUUUUUUUUUAGAAUGACAACUUGGAUAACAACCUCAAGACUGACUAGUGAUUAUCAGUUUAAAAAUGAUUAAAUUAGUUCAUUAUAUUUGUCACUUUUACAUUCUAUUAAUUUACAAGUAAUUUAAAAAUCUCACAUUAAUAUAUCAAACAUAUUAUAACUAGUAGCUAAGUCUAAAAUUUCUAGCUUUGACCUAGACUAUAGGUCGUGCUUAUUUUUGCAUGAUUCUGUUGCCACUACAACAGAAUUAGGUUAUAGGGACACAUGUUUGAGACACUUUUGAGUAAGUGUCCCAUUUAUGCUAAAACUUAAAAAAAUAUCUACUAAUGCCUAAAUAUAAAGCCCAAUCCAACCAAAAAUAAAAGAUUACUCUACUCAACCUACCACAUCCAGUCCAUUUGGCCCGAUUACAAACAGAAAAGAAAAGAAAAAAGAAAAAUCAUUUACCAUCUUUUCUUCUCUCUUCACUCAAUUCACUAAAAUUCUAGACGAAGAGCCUUUUCUGUCGUCCUCCUCCGCCGUUGUAGCUAACGAGAUAGAGUUUCGGCGAUUGCUAAAUGCUUAAAUAAGUAUUGAUAAAUUAGCAGCACUCUUUUAGGUUAUAGCGACACUUUUAACUGUCACUAUAUACCUAGCGACCCCACAUAUAGCAACACUUUUUAAAAGUGUCGGUAAUUUUAGUUAGCAGCACUUUUUUUACAUGUACCUACAUUUAAAAGUGUCGCUAUAGACCGUUUUUGUUGUAGUGUGCAGGUUUUGGCUCAAACUUUUAAAAGUUUUUUAAAAUUCCGACCAAGUUGAAAAUCUCUUUUCUUUUUUUCUUUUUUUGGUGGAUACAAAAUGGUGUCAUUCAUAAGUAGGAGUUGGGGGGGAGGAGGGGGAGGGAAGAAUCCCACUCUUUUUCGAAUGACAACCUAGAUAACAACCCCUAGGUUGUCUACUGAUUGUCAUUUUAAAAAAUUAUUGAGUUGGUUUAUUAUAUUCGUCACAUUUAUAUUCUAUAAGUGGGGAGUAGGGAGGGGAGGGGGGUGCUGGUGGUGGUGGUGUAAGGGCUAAUAAUUAUAUGUGUGGCCCUUAUUCCAAGAGCCCCACUUUUUUUCAAAUGACAACCUAGAUAAUAACCUUUAGGCUGUUUAGUGAUUGCCAAUUUAAAAAUUAUUGACUUGGUUUAUCAUAUUCGUCACAUUUAUAUUCCAUAAGUGGGAGUAGGGAGGGGAGGGGGGCAGUGGUGGUGGUGGUGGUGGUGGUGGUGCAAGGGCUAAUAAUUAUAUGCGUGGCCUUUAUUCCUGGAGCCCCACUUUUUUUCGAAUGACAACCUAGAUAAUAACCUUUAGGCUAUUUAGUGAUUGCCAAUUUAAAAAUUAUUGAGUUGAUUUAUCAUAUUCGUCACAUUUAUAUUCCAUAAAUCUUGAAGUAAUUUCAAAAUCUCACAAUUGUAAUAAUUGUAUGGGAGGCCUUAUUCGAAGAACCCACCUUUUUUCUAGAAUGGAGAUGGUGGGGGAUGCUUAAUAAUUGUAUGCGUAGGUCUUAUUUCAAGAAUCCCUUUUUUUUUAGAAUCACAACUUGGAUAACAACCUCAAGGAUGGCUAGUGAUUAUCAAUUAUUUGUCACCUUUACAUUCUGUUAAGUUACAAAUAAUUUAAAAACUCACAUUAAUAUAUCUAAUAUAUUAAAACUAGUAACUACAUCUAAAAUUUCUAGCUUGACCUAGCCUAUAGGUAGUGCCUGUUUUUGCAUGAUUUUGUUUGCAGGGUUGGGUUCAAACUAAUAGAAGUUUUGUAAAAUUAAGAUCAAGUUGAAAAUCUCUUUUCUUUUUUUCCCCCUCUUUUUGGGGGAAACAAAAAUAUGUCAUUGAGUGAUUGGCUAAGUCUACAAGACUAGGUACAUCCAAAAAAUAAAGGGUAAACUUCAAAUACCACCUCCAUGGUUUUACACUUUCUCAUUUUAGUACCCUGUGGUUUAAAGUGUAUUAAGUUUGUAUCCUGUAGUUUUAUUUUUCUCUUUUUGUCAACUUCUCUAUUAAUAUUUUAUUAAAUUAUAUACAAAAAAAUUCAGAUACCCUACUUAGGUUUAUCAAAUAUUCACUUUAGUACCCUUUAGUUUUAACUUUAUCAUAGAUUUAACGAAAAAAAAUAGUGAAAUGGAUAAUAAAAAGUAAAAAAUAAAACCACAUAAUACUAAAUUGAUAUACUUUAAAUCUCAAGGUACUCAAAUGAGAAAGUGUGAAACUAUAUGGGUGGUAUUUAAAGUUUUCUGAAAAAUAAAUAAGCAAAUUUCCUCAAACCUUGUCACUAAUAAUUGUUCUCCAUAUAGUAGACAAGCAAAUCCUAGAUAGUACCAUAUGAGGUAAAAAUACCCCAUGCUUAUUUUGCCAUUCAUGUCUAUAAAACAUCUGUACCUAUGACUACAUAAUAGAACACUCCAACACCAAAAGCCCCCCAUUCAUGUGCUCAUGCUACUUCAUCAAGAGACACAAAAUCUAUCAUCUCUUUUGUAAAAUUUCAAAAGCCAAAAUUUGUGAUCUCUGUUUCAUUUGCAAGCAAAUCCAAAUCCUUCUUAGUCCUGGAUGCUAGGGCUAAUAAUUAUAUGCGCGACUCUUAUUUCAAAAACCCUACUUUUCUUAGAAUGAAACAACCCCAAAGCUGUCUAGUAAUUGUCAAUUUAAAAAUAGUUAGUUGAUUCAUUAUAUUCACCUACAUUCCAUAACUCUUCAAGUAAUUUCAAAGUCUCAUAAUUGUAAUAAUUGCAUAGGCCUUAUUCGAAGAACUCCACAUUUUUAGAAUUACAACUUGGAUAACAACCACAAGAUUGGCUAGUGAUUAUUAGUUUAAAGAUGAUUAAGUUAGUUCAUUAUCUUUGUCCCCUUUACAUUCUGUUAAUUUACAAGUAAUUCAAAAGUCUCAUAUUAAUAUAUCUAACAUAUUAUAACUUAUAGCUACAUCUAAAAUUUCUGGCUUGAUCUAGCCUGUAGAUCUUGCUCGUUUUGCAUGAUUCCAUUUGCAGGAUUGGGUUCAAACUGUUAGAAGUUUUGUAAAAUUCAGAUCAAAUUAAAAAUAUCUUUUUUUUUUUCUCUCUUUUUCGAAGAUAUAGAAUUGUGCCAUUGAGCGAUUGGCUAAGUCUAUCGGGCUAUGUACAUCUAGAAAAUAAAUAAACAAUUUUCUUCAAAUUAACCUUGUCACUAAUUGAAGCUUGUUCUCCACAUAGUAUACAAGCAAAUCCAAGGGGGGAGGGGUUAAUAAUUGUAUGCGUAGGCCUUAUUCAAAGAACACACUUUUUUUUUAGAAUGGCUACUUGGUUAACAACCGCAAGGCUGGCUAGUGAUUAUCAAUUUGAAAAAUGAUUAAGUUGGUUCACUAUAUUUGUCAUCGUUACAUUCUAUUAAUUUAUAAGAAAUUUAAAAAUCUCACAUUAAUUAAUAUAUCUAAUAUAUUAUAACUAGUGGCUACAUCUAAAAUUUGUAGCUUGACCUAGCCUGUAGGUCAUGCCUGCUUUUGCAUAAUUUUUGUUUAUAGGGUUGGGUUCAAAUUGUUAGAAAUUUUGUAAAAUCCAGACCAAGUUGAAUUAAAAUCUCUUUCUUUUUCCCUUUUUUUUUUUAACUUUUUGGGGGAAACAAAAGCAUACCAUUGAGUGACUUACUAAAUCUAUCAGACUACAUACAUCCAAAAAAUAAAUAAACAAUUUUCUCAAAUUAACCUUGUAGUAAUGCUUGUUCAUAGUAGACAAGCAAAUCCAAAGGGGGAGGGGUUAAUAAUUGUAUGCGUAGGCCUUAUUGGAAGAAUCCCACCUUUCUUUUGGAAUGACAACUUGGAUGACAGCCUGGAGGCUGGCUAGUGAUUACCGAUUUGAAAAUGAUUAAGUCGGUUUAUUAUAUUUAUCGCCUUUACAUUCUGUCAAUUUACAAAUAAUUUAAAAAUCUCACAUUAAUAUAUCUAACAUUCUCACAUUAAAAGAUCUAAUAUAUUAUAACUAGUACUGACCGUCUCUAGCGCAAGUGGUAAAGGACUUGAUGCCAAGUUCGAAUCCUAGUUGAUUUACAUUUUUAACUAAGUUUAUUUCUAAAAAAAAUACGAAGCGGGUAGCAUGCAUGCUACCUUGCUACAUCUAAAAUUUCUGACGUGACUUAGCUUGUCGGUCGUUUUUGUAUGAUUCUAUUUACAGGGUUGGAUUCAAAUUAUUAGAAGUUUUGUAAAAUUCAGACCAGAUUGAAAAUCUCUUUUCUUUUUUUUUUUUCUUUUUUUUUUGGGGGGGGGAAACAAAAGCAUGUCAUUGAGUGAUUUGCUUAAGUCUAUUAGACCAGAUACACCCAAAAAAUAAAUAAAUAAUUUUCCUCAAGUUAACCUUUUCACUAAUGCUUGUUCACCUCAUAGUAGACAAACAAAUCCAAGGAUAGCACCAUAUAUAGAGGUAAGCAUCCAAUGCUUCUUUUGUUUUUUGUCUCAUGCAUAUCUUUAUUACACAUCUCUAGCUUCCUACGACUAAGUCAUGAGAACACACCAAAACCAAAAGCUCCCCAUGCAUGUGCUCAUGCUACUCCAUCAAGAGACACAAAAUCCAUCAUCUCUUUUGUGAAAUUUCAAAAGCCAAAUUUUGUGAUCUCCAUUUCAUUCAUUUGCAAGCAAAUCCAAAUCGUUCUGAGUCCUUGGCCGUGGUCCGCGCCGGCCCUUUCGGUGACAUUCAAGCCCUUUCGUGGGCUCUCGCUGUUGCCGCCGCCUCUGCCUCCACAAUCAAUUACUCUCUCUCUCUCUCUUUCUCUCUAUAUAAAAGGUUAAUAUAUAUAUUACAACCUAAAAGAUCGAUUUUAUAGGAAACAAGUCCAGAAAUAUAUACUAUAACAUAUAAUAUUACUAUUCGCAUAACAUAUAAAUCUAGUAACUAGGAAACAAGUCUAUGAAUAUAUAUUAUUAACAUUCCAACUCAAAUGCAUGAAAGACACAUGAAAUUUAUUGGUGAGCUAAAAAAUGAGAAUUUAACUAAUUCAUAUAAUGCAAGAAUUUCAUCUGUUAAAUAUUAAAGAUGGAACUGGAUCUGCGACCUCACCAAAAUGAAAGGGUUAAAUUAGUUUAGAUUUAGCUCUCAUAUAUAUAUUUUUAUAUAUAUAUAGAGAGAGAGUAUAUAUAUAUAUAUAUAUAUAUAGAGAGAGAGAGAGAGAGAGAGAGAGAGAGAGUAUAUAUAUAUAUAUAUAUAUAUAGAGAGAGAGAGAGAGAGCGCGCGCUAGACUGGUAUACUAUCGGUAGCACGGAGGCCUUUGUGCUAUCGAGUUGUUUUCAAUGAUGCGACUUCCAAAUCGAUAAUCGGCUCCAUUAGACUUGAUUUACACUAUUAAAAUUAUUUGGAAACUAAAUUUCAUAAUUUUACGACAUCAUUUGGCUAGUGAUCAAAAGGUCUCAAAAUUGAUAAUUUUAAUGGUAGAUGUGACGCAUUUGUGAAUUUAACAGUGUAAAACAAUCCAAAUAUAAUGUAAUUUUUAUAGAAAUUUUUUUUUACUAUUUAGAGUAAGAUCAAUAUCUCUGAUUUUAAAUUCAAGUUUUUUAUCAUCAUUUUUUAUGAGAUUUUUAUUUUCAGCCGUUUAUUUUUAGACUACUCGAUAGGUAAAUGAUGCCGAAAAAUUAUGAAAUUUAGUUUCCAAAUACUUUCAAUAGUGUAGAUCAAGUUUUAGGGAGCUGAUCGUCGAUUUGGAAGCUGCAUCAUUGAAAACAACUUAGUAGCACGUGCUACCGAUAGUAUACCAGUCUAGCUAUAUAUAUAUUUAUAUAUAGUUGAGCUAGAAUACUAUCGAUAGCAAACGGGCUUCGUUGCCACCCAUUUGUUUUCGAUGAUGGAGCCUCCAAAUCGACAAUCGGCACCGUUGAACAUAAUCUAUACCAUUUGAAGUGUUUAGAAAUCAAAUUUCAUACAUUUUCGAUAUUAUUCUCUUAUCAAUUAAGUGGACUCAAAAAUGAACGUCUGAAAAUGAAUAUUCUUUAAAAAAUGAUGAUAGAAGUCUUGUAGUCAAGAUCAAGAGUAUAGAUUUUGUUUUAAAUAGUUUAAAGAAUUUUCUAACAAAAAUUCAAUUGAUUUGGAUAUCUUUAUACUGUUAAACAAGAAAUGGGUGGCAACGAAAUUUGAAAUUUUGAAACCCUUUGAUUAUUAGGCAAAUGAUGUCGAAAAGAUUUGAAAUUUGGUUUCUAAACACUUCAAAUGGUAUAGAUCAUGUUCAAUGGUGUCGAUUGUCGAUUUGGAGGCUCUAUCAUCGAAAACAAAUGGGUGGCGGCUCUUGGAUGAAGGGAUGUACGAUUAGGAUGAUAAUGAUUCUCUAGAAUUGAAUGGGCGGUUGGUUGAACAAUACGAUCUAACAGAUGAAAAUGAUCGAAGAAGUGAAUCUAACGGGAAAAAACUUAUAAACAACAAGCGCUUUGUACUUUUAUAAACAUCAUAACCGAACUCUCUCUAUAUAUAUAAACAACUCUCUCUGUAUGUAUAUAGAUAUGUUUGUCGUUCUCUAUCUAGCUAACUACAUGUGAAAAAAUUUAAUACACUCAGCGAGCUAUUCACAUGGGGCAACAUCCAACAUUGUGGGAAUUGGUAACCCCCCCUCCACAUGGCAGUGUCAAAUACUAAGCAUGGAAUUAGACUACAGGUCACAUUGGGUGUUAGUUUGGUCCCCUAUAUCUUUGAUGAAUCUUGGUUGUCAUUCUCUGUCAUUUUUGUCGACUUUUGUUAACUAUUUUUUGUAUAACAAAAUUUGAUUUAAAUGUUUAAUGUAUCAAAUUAUUUUAGCUUAGGUGGUAAGGCACAACUGUGUGCAGUAUCCCGUGCUCUAUGGCGAGAGGCCAAUUUGGGCUAAGUUACAUUUAGAAUGGUGAGAAAUCUGGGUGGGUCAAGUUAUGUCCAAAGUGCUAGGUGGCUGGUUAAACUGAAUCACAAUCGAGAUUCGUGGAUGUUGUGUCUCUACGUUUUAAGUUCAUUGCAUCUUCCUAAUAGCUCAAACUUUUAAAAUUAAUGGUUAGCAACAAUGUUCCGACAAGUGGCACCAAAGUUAGAGGUUACAGGUUCGCUUCCUAUAUACUCUAAGUUUGUGCAGGUGCUAAGGGGAGGGGAUUAUUAAUUUAAAGGAGCUAGCAUCCUGCCCUCUGGUGGGAGAUUUUGUUGGGGCGAGCCAUGCUCGAAGUGGGGGGAGACUAGUUCAGCCAAGCCACAAUCGAGAUCCGUGAACAUUGUGUACGUAUACUUUAAGUAAAUUGAUUGGAUCUUUCUUGUAGCUUGAGCUUUAAAAUUGAUUGCAUCUUUCUAACAUUUCAAGCUUUUAUUAAAAUUAAUGGUUAGCAGUAACUUUUCCAACACAUAUGAUCCAAGGAUAUACCUCUCUAUUGGAACUCAUUAACUUAAUAGCUUAAGUUAAACCAUUGGUUUUAUUCAAAUAGUUUAAAUCAACUCUUUUCUCCUCUAGUGUAGUUAUCAUAUCAAAUAUUCGCAAUAGUAUGCAUGUAAACCAGUUAACUCCCCAAGAAAUCCAACCCCUUACUAUAUUUCUAGGUAUCUAACAGGAUCAACGAUUGAAUUAGGUUAACUAGAAAAGCAUAGACCCUAUAUAAUUAUAAUCCAUCUAUAAUGUACAUGCAAUGUUGUCACUAAAAAGAGCCAUUUUUUAUUUAUUUAUCAAGUUUAUUAGUUAGAUUUGGACAAAAUCUAGCCAUUCAAUGCUGAUUUGGUUUAUUGUACCUCUCUCUCAGUGCAAAUAGUAAAUGAAUUUAACUAUUUAGUAAUAUUAUUAGUAAUUUGGUACUCUCCAGCUAAAUAAAUAAUAUAUUUAUAACAUUCGUCAACUAUUUAAGCUUUCAAAGAAAGUAAAAAUAUAAUAAACUUAUCUGAACUAUGAACUAUUUUGAGUUGGCUAUUUAGUCUUUCAAAAUUUUGAUUUUACUAUUGAACAUUUUAAUUUAUUUGAUUUUAGUCAGUUAACGUUACUUUCAUUCCAAAAUUUAAAUAUAUAUGUAUUUUAUACAAUUCUCAUAACUAUAAAUUCAUAAAAGUAAGCAAUUAGUUUAAAUUUUAACGUCAAAAUAUUACUAACAGACUCAAAUCAAACAAAAAUUCCAAAAUAGGGCAGUAAAAUCAAAAUUUUGAAACUCUAGGUUAGCAGACUCAAGAUGGUCCACAGUUCGAAUAAGUUCGGUACAUUUUUAACCUUCGGAGAAAUAGGUUAAGAUCACCAGAGGUGUAAAAAAAACUCUGCAAAUUAAGCGAGCAUAGCUCCUUUUUCGGGUAUGGGACUGGGUUGGGUCGCAAGCCAUACCGGCACGACAUAGUCGGCAAAAAUAGUUCUGAUAAAUUCUGUAUGUUUUCACCUUCAGAGAACACUACAACAAAAACGGUCUAUAGCGACACUUUUAAAUAUAGGUACAUGUCAAAAAAAUGCUGCUAGCUAAAAUUACCGACACUUUUAAAAAGUGUUGCUAUAUGUGGGGUCGCUAGGUAUAUAGUGACAGUUAAAGAGUGUCGCUAUAACCUAAAAGAGUGCUGCUAAUUUACCAACACUUAUUUAAGCAUUUAGCAACCGCCGAAACUCUAUCUCGUUGGCUGCGGUGGCAGAGAAGGACGACAGGAAAGGAUCUUCGUCUAGAAUUUCAGUGGAUUGAGUGAAGAGAGAAGAAAAUAUGGUAAUUAAUUUUUAUUUUUAUUUUUUUUCUGUUUGUAAUCGGGCCAAAUGGACUGGGUGUGGUGGGUUGAGUAGAGUAAUCUUUUAUUUUUGGUUGGAUUGGGGUUUAUAUUUAGGCAUUAGUAAAUAUUUUUUUAAGUUUUAGCAUAAAUGGGACACUUACUCAAAAGUGUCCCAAACAUGUGUCCCUAUAACCUAAUUAUGUUGUAGUGGAAAUAGGUUAAGAUCACUAGAGAUGUAAAAAGGACAGUCCGGAGACAGCGGUGUCUUCUUUUCAAGUAUGGGACUGGGUCGCGGGCCGUACCGGCACAACAUAGUCGGCAAAGCGGGUCAUAUCGUGCCGGGCCAUUUUCUUCGAAACCCCAUCCCAGCAUGGCUCCUGCAUGCCCCCUGCUACUCCAUAACCUGGGCCAUUGCCUGUUCCCUUUUAUUUUUAUUUUCUCUUUCCUUUGUUUUUUUUUUUUUUAAGGUUUAUUUCUUAAAUUCUAUAAUUUUAAUAAAUUAUUGUAUAAGAUUAAAAAAAAUUGAAUACCCAUAAUAAUGCAAACUUUAUUUGUGAUGAAACUUUGGAAGAUCACCACAGGCAUACAUAGGUAACAUAUAUAGCCUCAACCAGCAUAUAGGCUUNAAAAAUUGAAUACCCAUAAUCAAAUUUUAUGAACUUUUUUUUAAAAAAAAAAAAAAAAUUGUAUGGAAUCUAUCAAGCCUAUAUGCUGGUUGAGGCUAUAUAUGUUACCUAUGUAUGCCUGUGGUGAUCUUCCAAAGUUUCAUCACAAAUAAAGUUUGCAUUAUUAUGGUUUAAAAUCUUGUUUCUACAUUAAUUCAUGCAACCAUUUAUUAAAUUUUAUUUCUAUUUAAGAAGUGACUUACAAUUGAGUGAGCUUUUUUAUUUUCUUUUAGUUUUGUUUUUCGUUGUUCGUCUCAGUCCAAAUCAUCACAUUAGAUUUAGGUACUGUUUGAAUGUAUAAACAUCUUAUUUUAUAUAUCAUUUUGAUUUACUUAAAAAAAUAUUUAGUAUUCAUUAGAUGAGAAGGUGAUCAAAUAUAUAUCCAUAACGAAUAACAUAUUCAGUCUUUAAGGCAAUAUUUGCACGUCAGAAUUAUUUUUGUGUAUGAAAAUUAUCUUGUAUAAUUGGAAGGCAGAAAAUAAAUUUUUGCUCUUUAUCUAUAAUUUAGUAGUGUAGCAAAUUUCACUUAAGAGAUGUCUACCACCUCUAUAAUUUAGAAUAGUCUUAUUUGAAUUAAGAUAUAUCAUCGUUAAACUUCUUAAUCUGCUAUAUUAGUUUAGUCGGUGGCUACAUCCAAAUGUUAAGAGGGUUAAGUGUGCUAUAGUUAAAGUAGCUCUAUAAUAGGUGACUCCCUGGAAAGCGAGGCAUCACAUUGAUAUCAGAACCAAUAACUGGCCAAAAAAAUAAAAUGAUUCUCAGCUGAGUUUGGGUCAUGCAGCGCGCAGAGCGUGUCUAGUGCGAGUGAGUUUCUUAACCUAGCUAAAGCAUACUGGGUGGCAGUUAAUUAGGCCCAAGAGAUUAAGAUGAUUAAAUGUGCUAAAGCUAAAGUAAUUAUAGGAUAGGUGACGUAUUGGAAAGCAGGGUAUAAUAGUUAGUAGCAGAUCCAAUCACUACCCAGAAAUAUAAAGAGUCUCAAUUGAGCUAGGAUUAUACAGCGGGUAGAGCGUGGUUUUCCGAUUGACGACUAUAUUGGUCGAGUGUGGCUCCUCAUAAGGUUGGCUAAGCCUAGCAAGAUAAAUCUCAUAUCGUUUGUGAGUUUUUUAAACUGGUUAUAGCAUUUGGGAGAUGGUUAGGUAUAAAAGGUUUAGAGGAUUAAGCAAGCUAGGACUAGAGUAGGUUUAAGAUGGACGACCCUUAGAAAGUGGAAUAUCAUAGUUGGUAUCAAAAUCAAUCACUAGUCAGCAAUAUAAGUGAUUCUCAGCCGAGCCAAGGUUAGACAAUAAGUAAAGCAUGGUUCCCCGAUUGGCAACUGUUGUGGAUAGAGUGUAACUCUCCAAAAGUUGGAUUUAGGUUAGCAAGAUAAGUUUUACAUUGCUUGGUGUUUGUGAGUAUACUUGAGUCUGAUGAGAAUAUUCAAGACUUAAAUAAGGGAGAGAAUGUGACAUCUUCAGAAUUUGGAAUAGUCCUAUUCCAAAUAAGAUAUACUAGGGAUAAACUUCCUAAUAUGAUUAUAGCAUUUUAGGCCGUGGCUAUACCCAAGAGGUUAAGAGGAUUAAGCAUGCUAGGGCUAGAGUAAUUAUAUAAUGGGUAACUCUCUAAGAAGUGGGUCAUCAUAGUUGGUAUCAAAGUUAAUCACCAACUUGAAGUGUAAGAUGAGUGUCAAUUAAGUCUGGGUUUUAUAGAAAGCAUAGCACAUCUCCCUUGCUGACGACUGUUGUGGAUGAAACACGGCUUCACACAAGGUCGAAUAAGAGUAGCGAGACAUUUCACAUUGCUUGGUAUUUAUGAGUUUUUUAACCUAGUUAUAGCAUAUUGGGUGGUAUUUAAGUCUAUGAGGUUAAGAGGUGAAGUGUGACAGAGCCAAAGUAGUUCAAGGAUAGGUAAUUCCCUGGGAAGCAUAGCAUCGCAACAUGAUUUAUUUUAUUCUAAAAAACUGACAUAGCGAUCGAAUAUGCUAUCCCAUUCUAGAUCUUUGACCACAUUUAACGCUUCCGAUCACAAUAUGAAUUUUUCAUACUUGACACUGAAUGACUAAAUCACUUCAUAGAUAAAAUAUGAUAUUCUAUCAAAUUAUAAACAUUAAGGUAUUUCAAAGACUAGAAAAUCAUACUCCUAACUAGCUUGCAACAAAACAAAAAAGUAUUUAUGUCAUAUAAGUAGUCAUUGGAUAAUUUUUUCUGACAUGCAAGUAUGAAGCCUAGUUGUUAGCGCACGUGGCAAAGAUUUUGGUGGUUGGUAUCUGAGUUUUCAAAUUCGAAAUGUAAUUACUUCACAUUUUCAGUUAAGUUUAUUUCCAAAAGAAAUAAACAAAACACAAAAAAAAACUUUUUUCCGCAUCCAAGCAAACCUUUAAGAUUUUCGUUCUCUCUAAUUUUUUGUCAUUAUGACACUGGAAGAGAAUGGAUAAUCAUUGAUAGUUGAUGAUCAUACCACUUUUGUUUUUUUUUUUCUUGUUUUCUAAUUAGCAAUUUUGGGUCCAAUUAUAAAUGGCCUCUAAUUAUUAAUCAGCUUAAUUCGCCCAACCAAUAGAGGGACCAACUUUGAUCCUGCUAACUAAUUAUAUACAAUAUUGAAAAAGUUAAUUUAAGAUCUCUUUUUUGAUAGUGUGGGGACAACCCAUUUUAUAAUGAAAAUAAAUAAUUAAUAUUUAAAAGUCCUGAUCAAUCCUGUGGGAUAUUGAGCAAAUACAUAAACAUAUAUAUAAUAUAAUUAAUGUAUCAAUCACAGUACCUCCAAGUUGAUUACUAAAUAAUUAAUACAUAAAAUCAUAAUUAGAAGUGUCUAAAUCAUUUUAGUUUAUGACGGUGUUAGCGAUCGUGCUGCAUAUUUAUGAGGAACAAUAAGUUGUACUUGUACAGAAUUAUAUUUCUUUAUAGAGCAAUAAUAUAAUUGGAUUAAAUAUGAAGGAAAAGGAGAAAGCGCGUUCUCGAGAGUGGAGAUUAAGUGAAGAUCUUAGAAGCUUCAUUAGUCAUUCAUUUCAUCAUUAUCUUAGUGAUCAAGGAGUCGGCGACGAAAAUAAAUGGUUAAGUACUCCAAUGACAACUUUCGUCGGCGGUAAUCUCCGCCGACACGCGGAAAUUUUGCUGUUCGAUAUCCGGCUCCCGCCGCGGCGGCCCACAAAGGAUCUACUUUUAUAAUUUAGAAGAUUAUCAGCUAGGUCUAGUUGCAUGCUUUUUUUGAUUAGUAUAAAUUAAGGUUACUUUCACUCAAAGAGUAUAAUUACAACAAUUCUUUAUAUAUAUAUAUAUAUAUAUAUAUAUAUAAUAUUAUAUAUAUAUAAUAGUUGAGGCUAAUACUGAUCGGAUAGUAACGAGCGUUUUACUUAUUAUUUGUUUUCAUGAUAGAGCUUCCAAUUGAACGAAUCGGUCCGUGAACAUGACUAUACACUUGAAAUGUUUUAGAAUUCAAAUUUCAAAAUCUUUUCGACAUGAUCUAAGGUAGUAAACGAGCCAUAUUUUUACUACAUGAAUAUACUAUAUAUAAUAUAUAUAUAUAUAUAUAUAUAUAAUUUAGUUGACUAAAUAUUGGCUUAUCAUUAAUGUGGAAGUGAUGUAGUAAUAUUGUGAUUAGCGCACAAAUAGAAACGAAAUAUAACAAACGCGAAAAAAGAAAAACCACAAACAGAAAAUAAAAUGAGGCAUAAAGAUUUACGUAGAAAAUCCUUUGUAGAGAAAAAAUUAUAGGCGAAGGAAGAGAGAAUUUCACUACUUAAAAAAAAGAGUACGAAGUUUUGAAUACUAUACUCUGUAUUGCGUCUAGAGCAAAAAGAAGAAAGAGAUUUCUUAACGGGUUCUGGAUCCAAGCCCUCCGUUACCCAUUAUAGACAUCUAGUUUUUUUUCACGAACUCUUUUUCAAAUUUACAACACCGAAAUUGUCAACAAAUCGGAGGCCCAAAAUCUAAGUCGAUAGCUAAAUUUUGAGGCACAUCUAACAAUACAUCAGUUUUAUACAGCGAUGCGUCAAUAUUUAGCCAAUUAAGUUGGGUUGUGAAACUUGAUAGUAAUGAAAGCUCAAGUCAAAAUUGCAACAAAUUAGGUGUAAUUUACCAUGUAUGUAUAUACAAUUGUUAGGUAGGUCUAAUAUAAUUAAUUGUGACAGUAGAUUACACUAAAGUAAUAAAUGAUCAUGGUAAGGGGUCGGUGAUAUGUUUCUCUUAAGGGAGCAAUAACAUAGGCCCCGUUUGGAUCGCGGGAUAAGCGGGGAUAACGAAAGUUAUUCCCGCUAUUCCACCAAACGGGGUGAAAUUUGGCCGGAAUAUUUUAUCCCGGUCAAACCUUGCUAUUCUCGGUUAUCCCGGAAUAGCAAGGAAUUUGCUAUUCCACCAUUUUGGUGGAAUAGUGCUAUUCCAAUGCUUAAUUUCAAACUUAAUUAAACUUAUAAAUUGAAUUAAACUAAAUUAUAUAAAUAUAAUAUGUUAUAUAUUAUAAUACAUUAUUUUUAUUAUAAAAUUAUUAAUUAUACUAUAUUAAUACAUAUUAUUUAUAUUUAAAUAUUAUAAUAAAAUUUAUAAUAAAUUAUAUUUAAAUAUUAUAAUAAAUUCUUUUUAUUAAAUUUAAAUUUAAGUAGAAUUUUUAAAAAAUUUAUAAAUUUAUUAUAAUAAAUUAUUUUUAUUAAUUGUUCCCACCACUAUUCUUAUUUUAAAAUUUUAAAAAUUAAAAAUUUAAAUUUUUAAAAUUUAUAAUUUAUAAUCUCAAAAUUAAAGUUUAAAAUUUAAAUUAUAAAUUAUAAAUUUUAAAUUUAAAUUUUGAUAUUUUAAAUUUUUGAAAUUUAAAAUUUGAUAUUUUAUAUUUUUUAAAUUUAAAUAUGAUCUUAAAUUUAAAGUUUGAAAUUUAAAAUUUAAAAUUUUGAAUUUAAAAUUUGAGAUUUUAAAUUUCAAAGUUAAAAUUUUAAAUUUAGAAAUAUAAAUUUAAAAAUUUAAAAAUUCAAAUUCAAAUAUAAUAAGUGGAUAAUAUCAUUAUUUUUUAUUUACAAAACCCAUUAUCUUUCUUAUUCCAUCUUACCUAACCAAACGCUAUUUUUUUUAUUCCAGGAAUAACCCAAUUUUCAUCCAAACGCAAAAUUGAUCUAAUCCUCGCUUAUACCUCAAUUUAUACCUAUUCCUGGAAUAGCCACUUUUUCCUUAUCCCCGAACCAAACGAUACCUAAAGGUAUAUAUGCUUGAUACCGAGGUCAAAGUCUCUGUUUGGAAUUCCAGAAAGAAUGCAUUACAUGAAUUCGAAAAAAUAGCUUGUUUGCUUCUGUAUGUAAUAUAGUAUUCUAUAUUUUUUAAUGAGUCGAUUGUGAUAUAUUUUUACGAUUUCUACCGAAAAAUACAGAAACACAUCUUUUUAUUUUAUAUAUAUGUAUAUUUCGUAAUGAGUUGAUUACGAUAUAUUUUCGCUAUUCCAGUUGAAAAAUGCAAAAACACAUCCCUUAUUCUACACACACACACACACACACACUAGGUUAGAACAUUAAUUAUUUAUAGAAUCAAGUCAUUGGAUAUUAGGUUUUGGUCUUUGGAUGAAGGGAUGUGCAGCUAGGAUAAUAGUGACCCCUAGGGUUUAGUGAGUGGUAAGUAAAAUAGUAUGAUCUAAAUUGUCAACAAAUCAGAGGUCAAGGGGGUAGAUUUAAUGGCGGAAAACGUGGUAGCAUCAUUUGGCUAGUAAUUAAAAGGUCUCAAAAUUAACAAUUUUAAUGGUCGAUGCGAUGCGUUUGUGAAUUUAACAGUAGUGUAAAAUAAUUCAAAUCUGAUAAAAUUUUUAUAGAAAAUUCUUUUCGCUAUUUAGAGUAAGAUCAGUAUGUCUGAUCUUAAAUUCAAGUAUUUUAUCGUCAUUUUUUAUGAUAUUUUUAUUUUCAGCCGUUCAUUUUUAGAUUAAUCAUUUGAUAGGUAAAUAAUGUCGAAAAAUUACGAAAUUUAAUUUUCAAAUAUUUUUAAUAGGAUAGAUCAAGUCUAACGGAGCUAAUCAUCGAUUUGGAAGCUACAUCAUUGCAAACAAUUUGGUUGCACGGAAGCCUCCGUACUACCGAUAGUAUAUAAGCCUCUCUCUCUCUCUCUCUCUCUCUCUCUCUCUCUCUCUCUCUCUAUAUAUAUAUAUAUAUAUAUGGCUAUGGUGCUUGUAAAAGCACCAAGCAUUUGGUGCUUGUAAAUUUUUUACCGUUAGAUCUAUCUCUUUGAUCAUUUCCAUCCGUUAGAGCAAACUAUUCAAUUAACCACCCACUCAACCCUGGGGUCCCAUAUCAUUCUAACCGCACAUCCCUUAAUCCAAUAACCAAAAAUCUACAAGCACCAAUAAUUUGGCACUUUUAAAAGCAUAGAAGUACAAUUCAUAUAUAUAUAUAGAGUAGGGCUACUAUACUCUUAUGAGUAUAGAGCCCUUCGUACUCAUAAGUUAUUUUUGAUGAUAGAGCUUCUGAAUCGACGAUCCAUUUCGUUAAAUAUAAUUUAAGAGUAUUUGAAACUUCUAAAAAAUAAAUUUUGUAAUUUUUCGAAAUCAUAAUAGAGUCCAUUAAGCUCUGAACUAUGAAUCGUUUUGAUUUUGCUAUCCAAUAUUUCAAAAGUUUGAUUUUAUCAUCAAACCUUUCAAUUUGUUUGAACAGAGUCAGUUAGCAACAUUGUGACUUCAAAAUUUGAAUGUGUUGCUUAUUUUUUUAUAUUUAGUAAUUAGUAUACUUUGUACCAUUCUCCCAACUAUAAAUUCAUUUAAAAAGUAAUUAUCUUUUUUUGACGUUAACAUAUUAUUAAAUGGCUUAAAUCAAAUAAAUUAAAAUUUUGAAUAGUAAAUUCUAAAUAGUUCAUAAUUCAGGUAAUUACUUCUGUAAGUUUUUUAUCAUUCAGAAAUAAUCUUAAUAAAUUAAUGUUUACUGUGUCUCUCUCAGCAAAAAGUCAACCCAGUUAUAAAUGGAUUAGGGCUUUGUGAACUUGUGUUGUGGACUUGUAGUAAAUGACAAAGUAAACAUAUAUACAAAUGGUGAUCACUUCCCCAGUCAUCACCUGGACCACUAAGACUAGUAGUAGUAUAUACAAUAAACAGUGGUGGGGUUGACUCUACCUCAUGCUUUGUUCUCACACAAUCAUGCAUAUAUAUGGUGGAAGUGAUGAUCAUCAAGAUGUUAAUUAACUGUACAUCACUUAAAUCAUAUCUUCUUAUAAUCAAUUAAGUAAUUAAUUAUGGCAAACCUAGUAGAAAACUAACCAUGGCAGUGUUUAAUUAAUUAUAUAUAUAUUAUCUUAUACGUACCAUCUAAUUAAUGAACUGAGUAGAUAAACAUCUAUCUAUAUAUGUAUAUAUUAUUAUAGUUAUGUAAUGUUCACACUUUGUUUUGACUUUGAACAAUGACUUCAACAAUACUCAUUCCAAGUCAUACUUGAGAAAAAUUACAACUGAAACCCUCAGUGAAAGACACAACAGAGAAAAAGAAAAAAAAAAAAAGAAAAAAGCGUCCUUCCUCUCCCACGUACAUGAAAACUUGGGCAUGCACCUCAUCAACAUGCACCAAGUAAAAACAAAAAGAAAAAGAAGUAACAAAAGAGAAAAAUACGUGUUUAACAUCUUUCUUAUAAUAACUAAAAAUUAACACAGCCUAAGUAACAAAGUGUUUUGAGACCUUGCACGUACACAAACUGACCCUAUCUCUCCGAUCGGCGAUCGAACGCCGAUAUUGCGCGCACCCACUUGAUUAGCCUUCUUGGCCCUCUUCCAAUCUUGCCUCGGCCGUCGCUGGAUAAAACGAAGCUCUUCAACCUUUCCAUGGAGAUAUCUAGGGUUUCCUCCGACAUGUUCGCGAAGCAAACCCUAAACCACCCGGGCUCGUUGCAGUGGCACGAAGAGCCCGGAGAAAUGUUUAGUCCCACAUCAUGCACUAUCCUUUUCCACAGCUCCAUCUCUCCUUCAGGUGUCUUAGUCUUAAGUAAGUGCCUCAUGUCCACCCAACAAAACAACCCUGCAUUGCUCUCCAAACAGCUUAUUCCGAUCGUCCGCAGCGCUUCGGUGAGCCGCUUUUGCCGCUCUCUAAGCCGCUUCUUGUUCUCCGCUAUGUAGUUCGCUGUGAACUCCUUGUCGGAGAGCAACAAGGACAAGAAGUACUGAGUUUGAGAGGAGAUGAGCCCAAAGCUCGACAUCUUGGUCGCCGUGGAGACCACCGCCUCAUUUUGGGAGUGUAUCGCACCAACGCGAAAGCCUGGUAGGCCGAGGUCCUUCGAUAAGCUAUACACGAUGUGUACACGGUCCGCCACCUCUUUGCCUCGUUCGGUUAUCGCCUCAGCGACACUUAUGAAGCCCGGAGAGUCGAAGUUGGUGCCAGAGUAUAUCUCAUCGCUGAUCAGAUGGAUGCCCUUGGCCACAAUGAAGUCGAUUAGGGUUUCUAGCUCACGGUGAGCCAAUGUGGUGCCCAAAGGGUUCGAGGGGUUGGUGACCAACACUCCCUUCACUCUUAGCUUCUGCUGCUGAGCUUGAUGAUAAGCCUCUUCGAGCGCGGGCUUGGUGAUCCGAAACCCGUUCGAGCUCGAGCAGUGGAUCGGUAUGAUCUCCGCACCGGUCCGCCAUUUGAGAUCCCUAUCAAACCUGCAAGUUAAACAGCAUAUUUAGUAUACAUGGGAAAAACGUACAAGAAGAGCAUAUUAAUAUAUAUAGGAGUGAAAAUGUAUAGUACUUACCCAGGGUAGUAAGGAGUUGGAACGAGGAACGCGUCGCCAGGUUCGCCGAGGCAGAAAAUGAGAAUCUCAUUUGCGGAAGUAGAGCCCGCAGUGAGUACAAGCUUGCGAGGAUCGAAUGCCACUUUGUUUCCUCUCAGCUCUUCCAUGAACUCCGCCAUAGCCUGCGAUUCAUAUUCGUUAAUACGAUCUUCUUCUUCUUCUUUCAUCACUCUCUCUCUUUGUUUGUUUGUUUUUUUUUUUCGCUAUACAUAUAACCGAGAGGAGAAAUUACAUGUUUGAAAGCGGGCAAGCCGUGAUAGUCCUGGAACAGAGCGAGCUCGCGGAACACAGAAACACCCUCGCUCUUGAACGCGGUGGAGUCGGGGUUCCUCGCAAGCCACGACUCGAUCAGAUCGAACGAGAGCUGCGUGCAUGAAGAACAUUCAAUCAUGAAGAGAUGAAGCAAAUGUAAAUGAGAGCAUUUUACAUCACAUUGGAGAGGCAUUAUCAGUGAACCAAAACUUGAGAGAGAGCGAGAGAGAGUUUAUUGAAACUAGCUAGUCACUCUUCACUAACUAGCUAGUUGUGGUUAGAUUUAAUACAUUUGCUCUGUAAAAUUAAAAAAAGACAGUUUAUUUACUCUUCACCAACUAGUUUUCACUAAAUUUAAUAUGUCUACUCUAUAAUAUGAGAGAGAGAGAGAGAGAGAGAGAGAGAGAGAGAGAGUAUGUUUACUGAAACUAAUCACUCUUCACUAAUUAGACUAUAAUGAGAGAGAGAGAGAGAGAGAGAGAGAGAGAGAAACUAUUGAAACGAGUCAUUCUUCACUAAUUAGUUACCUUUGAUUAGAUUUUAACAUAUCUACUCUAUCCUGUUACUAUUAGUUUUGACUAAAUUUAAUACAUAUGCUUUAUAAUAAACGAGAGAGAGAGAAAAUUAUAACUCUGACUAGAUUUAAUGCAUCUGCUCUGUGACAAAAAAAAUUAAGAAAAGGAACCAAAAAAAAAAAAAAGACCUGGUUCUCAGCAAGACCCAUUUGGAUGAUGCCAUGAGGGUUGGUGAUUGGGUGAUAGGGGUUCUUCUCAUACUCUUGCCACCCCAGAAAGUAUGAGGAGUCCUCUCCGUGGGCGUUGCAUGCAGCUUUCUUGGACAGCAGCAGCUGCUUACAAUUCAUUUUUGAUUUUAAUAAUAUUAUAUCAAAAAAUAUAAUAUAUGUGUAUAUAUUCUAGAGAGAGAGAGAGAGAGGAGGAAUGUAGAGUGAGCAAGAGAGAGAGCUGUGAAUUUGUAUAUGCCUGUGUGUUGCUUGGAGGCCGGAGAAGAUACAUAUAUAUAGAGUAAUAGCAUGGUCUAGAGAGAGAAAAAGAGAGCUGCCAAGAGAGAGAGAGAGAGAGAGAGAGAGAGAGAGAAUUGUACUUAUUUAUUUAUCUGUAUAUUAUACAUUUUUGGGGUGAUCAAUGCAGAUGAGCUGAGAAUUAUUUUUUGGAGAAUAACUAGCACGCUACCUGUUUUAUUCAUUGAAUGAAUAAAUUUGGCUAUAGAGGUGAGGCAACGAAGGCCUCAAGAAAAAACAACAUCAGCUGAGGUUAAAAAAAAAAAAAAAAAAAAAAAAAAAAAACGCUCAAAGUAGAUCUUUCCACAAAGAUAUCAGGAUCUUGAACCAACAGACUGCUAAAAUAGGGUUGAGGGUUUGUUGCCGACAAAAUAUCCUAAUUAAUGGCAGCUCCUGACAUGACAGGAAAUAGGGGGCAAAAAUUGUACGGGCAUAUUGUUUUUUUUUUUUUUUUGAAAGAUAGAUAGCAUGCUAUUUGUUUUGUUUAUUUCAUUUAGAAAUAAAUUUAGCUGAAAAUGUGAAUCAACUAGGAUUUGAGCUUGGGACCUCGGGUAUUAACCACCAAGCUCUUCACCACUUGCUCUAGGGACGGUCGGUGUAUGGACAUAGUGUUUAAAUUAGCAUUUUUGGGGAUUGCUCUCGAUGGGCGCCACGUGACUCGCAGACGUCCAUCCCACCGUCCCUUUUCCUUCCUCUACUUCUUUCUCUCACUAAAAAAAAUCACAUUUUUUAAGACAAAAAAGGGACGGUGAGAUGGGUACCUGCGAGCCACGUGGCGCCUUUCCGGAGCGUCCUCAAAAAUGUUAAUGUGGACACUAUGUCCACACAAAUUUUGCUGGAAAAUAGGCGAAAGAAUUGCUAUAUUAAUAAGAAGGGCCAAAAAAAAAGAAGAAGAAGAAGAAGAAAUCAACUUGGUGGAACCUACUGCACAAAAAUUUUAUGGAAAUAGUAGCUAUUGCUUUCAGUGUCGAUCUUAUUUUGAGAUUCAUGCUUAUUUAUAUGGUGAAAGAUGGAUGGAAUAUUCUAGUUUGAAAAUUAUUUAUAUACUAACCAUCCCUAGAGCAAGUGGUAAAGGACUUGGUGGUUGAUAACCGAGACCCAAAUUCGAAUCCUAGUUGAUUCACAUUUCCAGCUAAGUUUAUUUCUGAAUGAAAUAAACGAAGCGCGUAGCGUGCUACCUAUCUCUCUCAAAAAAAAAAAGAAAAUUAUUUAUAUAUAUAAAAAUUUUGUUCUAAAAAAAAAUUAUAUUAAACGGCAUUGGAUAUUAUAAUUUAUUAUUUUUAAUAAUCAAUUGUUUUACAUUGGUAGCGCGAAGCAAAGAAGUGGAUUUAUGAUGACCAAGUCUAAAUUAAUUGUAUUAUCAAAAACAUUCUUUUUUUAUAUAUCCAAAACAUUAAUUUAAAAAUAUUUUUAAUUAUUUUUUAACUAUUUAAAUUUCAUAAAAUUAUGAUAAAAAUUAAUGGUGGGAGAAGUAUGUAACUGUUUAUCUUUCCUAUAGCAAUUUUACCAUAAUAUUAUAAUAUUGGAGGAAAGAUUAAAUGCACCUGUAAACUUUUAGAGUCAUUUAAAAUAUACAAAAGAUGCUUUUUGAGAUCAUAAUUGACCCAAAUGAGUAUAUAAAUCUCAUUUGCAAGAACAAAAUCUACUGAACCAAUAUAAUUUUAUGAUGAUCAUUACUCCUUUUGAAUUAUCAACAUCAACAUGCCUUAUGAAUAUGCAAUCCAAGAUAAGUGUGGGUUGUUGAAUAUCCCAAAAUCCACCCAUCAUCUUCUUUUUUUCUUUUUUCUUUUUUUUUUUGAGAAAGGUAGUUGCUACUCACUUCAUUCAUAUGGAAAAAUAAAUUCAGCUACAAAAUUGAGGCAACUCGGCCUCAGAUAAGAUACAAACCACCGGACCGAAAAAAGAAAAUAAAAAUAAAUAAUAAAAAAAGCUUAAAAAAAUAAAAAACAAUAAAGAAGGUAAAUAAAUUUUUUUAAAAAAGAGUUCACGUAGAAUUGCAAAACUCAGUCCACUUACUUUUCAAGUACCAAGCUCGUCUAACCACGAUUAGAGAAUCUGAAAAUUGAAUUCUAAAAAUCAUGUUAUAUUUUUUUUUCCCGCUAAAUUAUCCACCAAUAGAUUGUGAUAUUAAUUAGAUCUUUCGCUGUUGUCCUUUGUGAGCGGUUCUUAGAUAGAAACUCAAAUCCAUCAAUUAUCACAUCAAAUCUACAAGACAUGCACAUAAAUUAUCAUGCCAACUAAUUGACCUUUAAACACUUGUUAGUAACUUCUAAAGUACUUUCCCAUACAUUCUAAUUUUAGUUUCCAUUAAUCAUUAUUGUUUACGUAUGUUUAAAGUAAACUCACAGAAUAAGUGAAUUAGAUUGAUUAAUCUUUUGGAUCGUAAUUGUACGGGUACACAAAUUUAUUUGUAGUCAUUAAUGAAUCUCAGAGAAAAUCACCUCUAGUGUUUCUAAUUACGAUAAACAAAAGUGAACAGUUAGGAUGGAUUGAUAAUAGAAGGGUUAAUUUCAUUCAGAUCCCUGUAAAUAUAGUAAAUGACAAAUAUUUUUUUACAAAGUUCAACUUGCAUAUAUUGUCUCUAUAAAAAUCCUAAUAAUUUCAAAUAUGUCCCCACCAUUAUAAUCCGUUAGAAAAAUUUAGUUAAUCAUACGUUAAAUACUUAACCCUGGUUAAUUUUUGACAUUUUUAUCUUUCUUAUAAUAUUAUACUGUAAUAAUUUUUAAAGGAACAUACUUGUGAUCGCAAAAUUGAAAAUAUAAAUAGUUCUCUAACGAUUUUCUAACGGUAAUAAAUUAAAAUGAUAUAUUUGAAAACAUCAGGACUUUUGUAGAAACAAUUUAUGACAAUUGAAUUUUGUAGGGAUAUGUUUGUCAUUCACUAUAUUUGCAGAGACUUGUAUGAAAUUAACCCAAAACUAGUAAAAUGGACGGCAAAAAAUUAUAAAAACCAAUCUGCAAUUUUGGGAUAAUAGGGGGGAGAUUUGUACAUUUUACCCAAUAAUCGGAUAACAAAUCAUAGAGAUAUAUUUGAAAACAUCAGAGAUUUUGUAAGAAGAAUAUAUGAAAGUUGAAUUUUAUAGGGAUAUAUUUGUCAUUCAUUAUAUUUGUAGAGAUCUAUAUGAAAUUAACCUAAAAAAAUAGUAAAAUGCACCUGAAAAUUAUAAGAACCAGUUCGCAAUAUUGGGAUAAUAGGGGGCAGAUUUGUACAUUUUACUCAAUAAUCGAAUCAAAUCAAACCAGGUGAGAUCGCCCGCAGGUUUUCGCAGCACUUCCCUGGUUUUAAUUAAUUUCCACUUAACCAAAGUUUAAAUUUAAUUAUUCUUAAUUUGCUGGGUCAUUGUCACCACCACAUAAGGUGAAACAUUGAUACAUUUUAGGCAACUAAAUGUCAAAAUUACGUAAUUAUUUAAGGGAAAGAACUGUUUAACUUUAAGAAUUAUAUAUUAUGGAUAUAAAACCACGUUUAUUUCUCCGUAACCAAUUUUCAGAUUCAGGGUUAAUAUUUACUUCGGUUAUUUGUUUAAUAAAAUGUUAAUGACUUUGAAAUUAUACUUAUCCUAUCUUUUGUAGUUAUUUUACUAAAAUAAAAAAAAAAAUGAAGUUAAAAAAGAAUUACUCGUAAUUGACUUGUAACCACUUAGAAUUAAGUCAAUUACAAAUUUUAGAAAAAUUAAUUUAUAGAAAAAUUUAAAUAAUAAUGAGAUAAAAACUUAAUUACACUCUGCUACACUCUAUUUUAGUUUUAUUUUUAUUUACUAUAUUAUACUCUUUUUUUUCCCAAAGACACUAGUAUAUUAUUAUUAUAUUUUAUAAAUCUUUACACUGUGUUUUAGAUUUAUAUUUAACUUUCUACUUUGUACUUUUUUUUCUCAUACAUACAACUAAACUACUUCCGUUCUUUACCGACCUCUAUAUUACUAUUAACAAAUUCAUUGUUUUAAACAAAAAAAUCUAAUAAAUUUAUUAAGAAAUGCUGGUUAAAUAAUAUAAUGUUUGGGCGAUAUUUACAUUACUUUCUCUCUUUCUCCUCCUUUCCCUCCGCUUUCUUGUGCUUCUCUGCGCCCAUCUCCUCCUCGCCCUCUACCUCCACCGCAGCAGAUUUAUCACCCACGAAAUCCACUUACGAGAAUCUGUUAGUCUAUACCACUACCGCCAAUGAUGAUGAAGAGGAAGUGCUUCUUAACACCAAGAAACUUGCUGGAAAGGGAGGGGGCACGUGGCACACAACACCCAUUCGGGGCCGGCGACACAUGCAGUGGAGACAUAGGAGAGCAUGACGAUAUUGGAGAAGAGGGCGGCAGAAUUGGAGGCGGUGUCACAGAGGGCGGCGGCGUGUGCGACCUUGGUGGGGUCAGAGGCGAGGAAGGAGGGGUUGGGGGGGUGAGUGGGCGCGGCUGAGAGCGCGUGGGGCAGAGGCGAGGCAGGGCGUCCCAGUAGUCUGAGCGGCUAGUGCAGCCUUGGCGGUGUUGGAGGUGACAAGGGCGGGGGGUGCGCGGGCACGAGCGAGGAUGCACAGAGCAAAGCGAGGCAAAUCGCCUCAGCCUCCGCCUCCGCCGCCCUCUUCGGAGAGGAAAAAAAAGAACGAGAAAAAAAAAAAAAAAGAAGAGAGAGAGAGAGAGAAAGAAGAGAAUACGAGUUUUUUGAUAAGUUUUUUUAAAAUCCGGAUCGAAUCUGUAAAAUUCAAAAUAGUGACAUGCUUUUGCAAAAAAAAAUUAAUUAUAAAAUUAUUCUAUUUUCAAAGCAAUAACAUUAUUUUUAGCAUUUAAUGUUAUAUAGUUGUUUAGAGUUUGAAUAUAAAAAAACCCCUUUAUAAAUACUCGCUUUUUUAUUUUCUCUUUUUAAUUUUCAAAAAUUCAUAUUUUAUCUUCUCAAUAUUUUAAAUUGUUGCAUUUAAAUCAUCUCCAUCAGGUUUCCAUCAUUAUUCCAUUUAUUUCUUAAAAUUUAUACCGAAAAUGCACUUCAAAAUAACAAAAAUAUAUUAAAAAAUUAUUUUUUCUUAUAGAAGAUGUCAGGAUAAUUUGAUUAUUUUAUCCUCCACAUUAACGUCAUACCACGUAAAAAUAUUUCUCAAAUUUAAUGGGACAAUACAGUUUUUUGAAAGUCAUGGAAGGUUAGUAAAAAUAAUAGAUAUUUAUAAGAAAAUUUUUAAUAAUUUAAUCUAGCAAAUACAUAAGUUUGGUAAAAAUGAUGNUUUAUAAUUAAAAUAAUGGUUAAUUUUAUAUAGAUUCCUGUAAAUAUAUUAUUACAAAGUUCAACUUUUAUAUGUUGUCCCUAGCUACAAAAGUCCUGGUGUUUUCAAAUAUAUUCCUACCAUUAGAAUCCGUUAGAAAAUUUUAAUUAAUCAUAGCUUAAAUAAUAAAUAAUUUACCCUGAUUAGUUUUUAAUAUUUUUAUCCCUCUUAUAUUAUAUUAUACUGUUAAGACUUUUGAAGGGUUAAUUUCAUACAAGUCACUGCAAACAUAGUGAAUGACAGAUAUAUAUCCCUAAGUUCAACUUUCAUAUGUUGUCCCUACAAAAGUUCAUGCUUUCAAAUGUAUCCCUCUGAUUUGUUAUCAUUAGAGAACUAUUUAUAUUUUCAGUUUUGCCAUCACAAAUAAGUCCCUCCAAAAGGCAUAACUGUAUAAUAUAAGAGGGGUAAAAAUGUCAAAAAUUAAUCAGGGUUAAGUAUUUAACUAAAUUUUUUUAACGGAUUCUAACGGCAGGGACAUAUUUAAAAAUAAUAGGAUUUUUCUAGGGACAAUAUAUACAAAUUAAGAAAAAAACUUCAAAUAACACCCCGUGGUUUUACACUUUUUCACUUUAAUACCCUACGGUUUAAAGUGUAUCAAUUUAGUGCCCCAUGGUUUCAUUUUUAUUUUUUUAUUAUUGAUUUCGCUAAUUUUUUUCGUUAAAUAAGUGACAAAGUUAAAACUAAUAGGUACUUUAAAGUGAAUAUUCAAUAAAUCCGCGUGGGCUAUCUGAAGUUUUUUUUUGUAUAUAAUUUAACGAAAUAUUAACAGAAAAACUAACGAAAAGAUAAAAAUGAAACNUUAUAAUUAAAAUAAGGGUUAAUUUUAUACAGAUUCCUACAAAUAUAGUGAAUGACAAAUAUAUUACUAUAAAAUUCAACUUUUAUAUGUUGUCCCUAGCUACAAAAGUCAUGGUGUUUUCAAAUAUAUUCCUGCCAUUAGAAUCCGUUAGAAAAUUUUAAUUAAUCAUAGCUUAAAUAAUAAAUACUUUACCUUGGUUAGUUUUUAAUAUGUUUACUCCUCUUAUAUUAUACUGUUAAGACUUUUGAAGGGUUAAUUUCAUACAAGUCACUGCAAACAUAGUAAAUGACAAAUAUAUAUCCCUAAGUUCAACUUUCAUAUAUUGUCCCUACAAAAGUUCAUGCUUUCAAAUGUAUCCCUCCGAUUUGUUAUCGUUAGAGAACUAUUUAUAUUUUCAAUUUUAUCAUCACAAAUAAGUCCCUCCAAAAGGCAUAACUGUAUAAUAUAAGAGGGGUAAAAAUGUCAAAAACUAAUCAGGGUUAAGUAUUUAACUAAAUUUUUUUAACGAAUUCUAACGGCAGGGACAUAUUUAAAAAUAUUAGAAUUUUUGUAGGGACAAUAUAUACAAAUUAAGAAAAAAACUUCAAAUAACACCCCGUGGUUUUACACUUUUUCACUUUAAUACCCUGCGGUUUAAAGUGUAUCAAUUUAGUGCCCCAUGGUUUCAUUUUUAUUUUUUUAUUAUUGAUUCCGCUAAUUUUUUUUGUUAAAUAAGUGACAGAGUUAAAACUAAUAGGUACUUUAAAGUGAAUAUUCGAUAAACCUGGGUGGGGUAUCUGAAGUUUUUUUUGUAUAUAAUUUAACAAAAUAUUAACAGAAAAACUAACGAAAAAAUAAAAAUGAAACCACAGAACACUAAUUUGAUAUACUUUGAACCACAAAAGUGGUAUUUGAAAUUUAUCCGAAAAUUAAAUUUUAUAAAUAUAUAUUUCUCAUUCGUUAUAUUUGUAGGGAUAUGUACGAAAUUAAUCCUAAAAUUAAUUAAUCAGUACUAGCCGUCCAAAAUCUCUUCUUUCACAGGAGUGGGACGUGGGGCCACCCGCGGGCGGUCAAAGANCGGAGCUGAGAUUCGACCGCCCACCGGAAACGGCGAAAGAAGCUGACUUUCAAGUCGUACGGAUUCUCGACUGAAAAACAAAUUAAUUGGAUCCGGGACCCAGGGCUGAGAUGGGCGCCGCGUCGGAGUUUUUUCUUCUUUUUUUUUAAUAUAUAUUUUUUACUAUAAUUAUUUAUUUACUUUUUUAAAAAAAAAUUUAUUUUUUAAGGAUUUUCUUUUUUAUUUUUAGGCUAAAUUACAUAAAACCUUUCUGUCAAAAUCCGAUUUUGUACUUUUCUAAAAAUCUACACUUUGCCCCCUUGUAAAAUAAAAAUUGUUCACUUCGCCCCCUACCGUUAGUAAUCUGUUAGAGUUCCGUUUAUAAUACAUUAUUAUAUAUUUUUUUAUACCAAAAAUGCCCUCAGCCUUCUCUCCUGUGAACAUAGUGAGGGGCAAAAUGGUGAGGGGCGAAGUGGUUAUUUUAUCAUCACAGUUCACACCGUACUCUUCUGUGAAUAUUUUUCAUUUUACAAGAGGGCAUAAUAUAGAUUUUAAAUGACAGAAGGGAAAGUGAAAAAUCGGGUUUUAACAUGAGGGUUUUUUGUAAUUUAGCCUUAUUUUUAAUGAAUUUUUAAAUAAUUAUAACUUAAUUUCAAAUAGUUUAGAUUAUACAGUUUUAUGACUUAAGAGUGAUUUUUAUUUUAUGGGGAGCGAUUUAGUAUCAAAUAAUUUUAAAUAAAGUUAAUUUUGUUUAGGUCCUUUCAAACAUAAUGAAUUGCAAAUAUAUUACUACAAAGUUCAACUUUUGUUUGUUGUCUUAACAAAAGUCCUGAUAUUUUCAAAUAUCCCUGCUGUUAGGAUCCGUUAGAAAAUAUUAGUUAACCAUAAAUAAAUACUUAAUUCUAGUUAGUUAAUGAGAUAAAUUGAUCUUUUUAUCCUUUUCAAUUAACCGUUGAAACUUUUUAGGGACAUAUUUAUGAUGGUAAAAAAAUUAUUUUAGUUAUAAAAUAAACAGUAUUUUAACGGUAACAAAUUAGAGGAACAUAUUUAAAAAUAUUAGAAGUUUUGUAGAGACAACAUAUGAAAGUUGAACUUAAAUUUGUAAGAAUAUAUUUACAAUUUACUAUAUUUGCAGGGACCUGUAUAAAGUUAACUCUUUUAAAUAAUACAAUUUAGAUUUAAACAGUAUAAUUUCGCAACUUUUUAUUCUUAUUCUUUUUUUGUGCAGUAGCGACUGCACAUUAUGGCCUUCCCAUGAAAAUAACAUCAUAUAUUUUUCUUUUUUUUGUCAUUUCGUUUUUCUUCUUUUCCUUUUCCUUUUACACUCUUUGCAUUUUUUUCGCUACCGCACCUUCUCCUCCGCCCUCGGCUAUAGCAGCCACCCUUGCCAGGACGUGCUUUUUCUUUUUGUCGUCCUCAAAUUUUGUGGUACGCUCAUCGCUGUUGUCGUCCACGGCCACGCCUUACGCUGUAGUCUCACCUUAGUGAUCAAUCCGACAUCAAAGCCCGCAUCACCGCCGCCAGCAUCAGGAGAGGUGUGGGUGAGGUAGGAGAAAGGAGAGCAGUGUCGAUGUGAGAGUAGAGAUACCUUGGCCAGUUUACUAAAAAUUCGUAAAAUAAAAAAAAAAAAAAGUCUAUUUUUACAAUAAUACAAAAUUGAUGAACUUUUUAUAGAAAUUGGCCUUCUUUUCGAAGAAAAAAAUACUGUAAAAUGUUGAAGAAAUAAAUAAGUAUAAUUCGAGUAAAUCAAAUGACUAAUUAAUAAUAAUAAUUUUUUUUUAACUUUUAACUCUUUAUUAAAAGAACAAAACAUAUUUGGAAAGGUGUUGGCGCCCCGAUCGAGCAUCAACAAAUAUAUGAGAAUUCUUUAAAAAAAAAAAAAAGAUUUUAGUCACUGACAAAUGAUCAGAUUAUGAGCUCAAACUUAGGAGCUCAGUUUGGUGGUUUUACUUUUGCUGUAUAAGAAAAUUGUUUCAGCAUGUUGUAUAUUUUAAAGAAGUGAUACCGUCAAUUUAGCGUUAAAAUUUUUGAAAAAGCACUGACGGUCCCUAAAGUAAGCGGCAAAGAGCUUGGUGGUUAAUACUCGAUGUCCCAAGUUCGAAUCCUACUUGAUUCACAUUUCUAGCUAAAUUUAUUUCUAAAUGAAAUAAACGAAGCGGAUAAUAUGCUACCUAUAUCUCAAAGAAAAAAAAAUGAAAAAAUGUGACUCAACUAAGCUGGUUUGUAAAUUUUGUUGAGUUCGACAAAUUUUUACAAUCGGCGAAAAAUUUUUAAACAUCAUAGCUUUUCCCUCGAGUGUACAUUUUCAGCAUGCAAUCCUAAUUCGGAAAACACUUUUUCGAGAUUUAAGCCUUCGAGAUCCAAAUUUAAAUGUUUAGGCCUCUAUUUUAUCAUUUUUAGGUUAUUUUUGAAAAAUUUUAUAUUUUUUUAUUUUCCGUCCGGAGACUUGAUUAUUUAUGAUCAGUUUAUAUAUGUUUGGAGAUAAUAUUAAAAUUUCUUAUCUUCAAUAAUAAUAGAAUUCGGGUAUCGGCCCUACAUAUAUACAUGGCGUUCAAUAAAUGUAACUAGUUUUUUUAGAGUUGAUUAAUGACAUUUUUCUCUUAUUGAAAAAUUAUGUUCUUUGUGUAAUCCUCUCUUUUUGUCCUUAUACUUCUUUUCUCUCUACGCGGCUUAGACAUGCGACAAGAAAUGUCACUUAAAAACUAGAAAAAACUUCAAAAACCCCCCUUGUAGUUUCGUAGUUUCUCACUUUGCCCUCCUGUGGUUUAAAAUGUAUCAUAUUGCCCCCCUGUGGUUUCUUUUUUUUUUUUCAGUAACUUUUUCGUUAAUAUUUCAUUAAAUUAUAUACAAAAAACUUCAGAUAUUCAUCUAGAUUUAUCAAAUAUUCACUUUAGUACCCUUUAAUUUUAACUUUAUCACUGAUUUAAGAAAAAAAAAAUAAUGAAAUUGAUAAGAAAAAGAGAAAAAAAAAAACCAGGGGGGGCAAAUUGAUACAUUUUAAACCACAGGGAGACAAAGUGUGAAACUACGAAACCACAGAGGGGGUUUUUGAAUUUUUCCCUAAAAACUACUAUGGAAUAACAUAACACUCAAAAAGACAAAAACCCUAGCCAUUGACCUGAGCUAGCUAGUGUUUAAUAUUGUUUAGUUUGAUGUCCCUUUCACAAUAAGCUAAUAUACAUAAAGAAAUUGAAGAAGAUCAUCUACAGCCUUAAAUCUCUUAAUUAAUAGGCUCUUCUGAUAUACAGGUUGGCAUCUUUGAAUCAAUAAGACUUUUACGAGUAAGAAGAGAUUCAUAUUUAUAAAUUAUUUUCGAUGAUAGAAUUUUUAAAUUGACGACUCGUACUGUUUAAUAUGAUCUAGAAUUAAUAUAUCGAAUAAAAUUAAUUUGAUUCUUAAAAAGUUUAAAUACUUUAUAUUAUGUUUAAUUAUAUGGACCGUAAAAUAGAGAAAUUCUAUCAUUAAAAAUAAUUUAUAAAUACAAAAACGAUCAUAUUUAUAAAAGUAUCGCAGUUGUACUCGUAAUUAAUGUGCCUCCAUUUUAUGGGCCUAAGCUGCUUUAUAAUGUGACCUAAAAUGUUUUAGAGAACUUGAUUUGAAACGUUAGAGAGAGACAGAGCUUGUAAUUUCAAUAUAUAUAUAUAUAUAGUCCGGCUGUAGUGCUUCUAAUAGCAUCAAGCACUUGGUGCUAUCAAAUUUUUCAUUGUUAGAUUUAUUUUUUUGACUAUUUUCAUCUGUUAGAUUAUACUAUUCAACCAACUACUCACUCAACCCAAGGGAACAACUAUCAUCCUAACUGCACAUCCCUUAAUCUAAGGGCCGAAAACCUAAUAGCACUAAUGACUUGAUGCUAUUAAAAACAUUGCAGCCUAAUUCUAUAUAUGUAGAGAGAGAGAGUUGAGCUAGAAUACUAUUAGUAGCAAACGAGCUUCGUUGUCACGCAUUUAUUUUCGAUGAUAGAGCCUCCAAAUUGACGAUCGGCAUUGAACAUGUUCUAUGCCACUUGAAGUAUCUAGAAAUCAAAUUUCAUACUUUUUCGAUAUUGUUCUCUUGUCCAUCAAAUUGACACAAAAAUGAACGGUUGAAAAUAAAUAUUCUUUAAAAACUGAUGAUAAGAGUCUUAUAAUCAAAAUCAAGAGUAUAGAUCUUGUUAUAAAUAGUUUAAAGAAUUUUCUAACUAAAAUUCAAUUGAUUUGAAUAUCUUUUCGUCGUUAAAUAAGAAAAACAUCUCAUAUUGCUAACAUUACAAAUUUUAAAAUUAUUGGAUCAUUAGGCCAGCGUAAAUCAUAUUCAAUGGUGCCGAUCGUCAAUUUGGAGAUUGCACCAUCGAAAAGAAAUGAAUGGCAGUGAAGCCCGUUUGUUGCUUAUAGCAAUUUAGCUUAACUAUCUCUCUCUCUCUAUAUAUAUAUAAAGAAUAAAAAGUGAAAAAAUAUGCAAAAAUAUUUUUUAUUAAGAAUAUAUGCUACUUUAUAUAGAUUGAAGGCUAGUUUCUAAACCAAAAUUCUUGUACUUAAAUUUUAAGCCUUAAUUCUACAUAUGUACUCCAUAAUCAAUUGAUGAAAUGGUACGUAAUAUUGGUUUCAUGCUACUAUUUCUUCAGUUCUUUCAACAUAUAUAGGAGUGUGAAUGCAUGUGCGUAAAAAUUUGUUUACAAUUCACCACCUAAUUAUUUUACCAACCAACAAAAGAACAUGAUGCUAUUUAAUGUUCAAAAAACAUGAGCAACUCAUGUCAUCAAAACCAUGCACAUAGGGGGUCAAAGUGGAGGCAUCUUGUACUGUGAUCACUCAACACAAACACUUUGGGAGGCAACACAGUGUUACCAUUUUCAGGCUACAUGGACUCAUGGAGUCAUGGGGGGCCAUGUACUCUUUCCAAGUUAUGCAUGGACUCACAUCAUGGUCAAGUCCCCACAAGAUACCUCCCCCAAGAACACCUCAUGCAAUUGGAAGAAGCCCUUCGAUCAAAACAUUGUAGCCAAUGUGACAUCUAACAUGGUCUCCAUUGGAACCAUGCAUUCCUUUCUACAUUUAACAAAGCAGUAUUUGGCAAGAACUCAAUAAUAGAGUGCUUGGUGGGGGUGUCUUGUUCUUGCUUGGUUACUUGUGGAGAAAAUCAACUAUUUUGCUUCAAUGUGGGCAUAUAAUUUAUAACUUGGUGAGAGCAAAGAAAGAAAUUAUAUAUUGUAUUUUAAAACCAAGAAGAAAUUAUGUUGUUGGCUCAACUACAGGGGAUUGUGAUCAUCAUAUUGAUGCAUCCUGACAGGUUUUUUAAUUUUUCCAUUUGUUUAUUUGCUUGUUCAUUCUUCUAAGAGCCAAUGAUGUAGCUACUUUUGUAGUUUGUGUGGUGGUGGGUUUUAGUGCUUACAGGUACUUUAGCGAUAUAUUGUUUCAAGACUUUGUCCGUGAAACACUCCAUUUCGUGGUGUUCUGUACUGUUAACUUUUCUUUUCAGUAAAAGUAUCUGUAGGGUUUCUCUCCCAGUUAUUACUUAAAAAAAAAAAACAUUCUAUGCCACAAUCAUCAAGCGAGUAUAUUAAUUUACUAACACGUAGAACCUAUAACAGGCUAAUCAUGCAGCAACAUAUUGGAUUGGCAGUAUCAGAUAUAUCUACGAUCUCUUUAAAGUAAGAAAACAUCUUAAUCGAAAAAGAAAAACUCAUAUUAUAGUAUGUGAUCGACCUGAACAUUACAGUUUACAGAGAGAGUUAUAUAUAUUAAUUGUCUCAUGUUCAUUAUGUAUGUUGAAUUUUUCAAUAUUGCGAUCAUCGUAAUGUAGAAUUCUUCCAUGUCAAUGAAAACAAUGUAUACCCAACUUGAAUUCGACACAAGAUUGAGUUGACUCAACUAAGCUUCAGAUCCUUCCCUGCAUUGUCUCAAAAUGGAAAGUCAAAUAGAGAGAACAUGAGACAAUGAAUAUGAGGUAGUUGAAUUCAAAUCAGCAAGAAAAAAAAUUUCCUCUCUUCCUUACUUAGCUUAGCUGCCAUAUGUGGAAGUUGACUUGUAUAUGUUUUUAAUAAUAAAACCAUCAUCCUCCACAAGCUGCAACUUGGUUGACUUUGACAAUGAGGACCUAUGAUAUUAAAAUUGUCCUCAUCUUUGUCUUUAAGUGCAUAUAUAUUUAGUUUGGGUUUAAUUCUUUGAAGGAUUAGAGAGAAUUCAAGAUGAUUAGAGGAACAUUAAUGAUGAUUUUGGCUUGAUUUAGAGUUGUUCUUGUAUAAGUAAUCUAGAUGUUUGACUAAGUUAUUAGUGUUGCAAAUAAGUGAUUGACUCUACGGUACAAUUCAAAUGUUGAGAGACAAGUGAAAUACAAACUCAAGAAGUUAACUUGUAAUCAAAUUUGAGAAAGGGAAGAAACAAAAGCCUUCAAUGAUAUCAUUUUCACUGUGUUAUCAAUGAUGUCAUUUUCACUGACGUCAAUGGGUAUGGAUACCCGACAUUUUAUCUGAAUCUAAACAUGAAUGUGGUGGAUUUGGGACGCAACAGGUAUAAUUUUUGUUAUACAUAUAAAAAACGAAAAUCUGACGAAUUCGGAUUUAAUUAUAAUUCUAUUUCUACCCAAAUCGAAUCCAAACCUGAACCCAACAUCGAAACCUCACCAGGAUUACAUAUCUAUACUAUGUUAAAUAGCAAAUAUGAUCUUUGGAUCAGUCAUUUUUUAUUCCUGAAAUAAUCUAAAUUAACUUUUUUUAUUUACAAAAUAUUCUAAAUUAAUAUUUGAUUCAUAUUAGUUAAAAUUCUAGAGACUACAAGCCUUGGGCCUGGCCCUUUCUCAUCCAAUAGCACAAAAGAUGGGCUGGGCUAUUUAACCUCGGGCCGGGCUCUUUUCAUCCAAUUUAUUUAAUAUAUAUAUAUAGGAUGAUAUAGAUCCCUUAGGGUUGAGUAAGUUAUUGGUUGAAUAGUAUAAUCUAACGGUGAAAAUAGUCCAAGGAUUAAAUCUAACGGUGGAAAACUCAAUAGCACCAAGCGCUUAGUGCUAUCGAUAGUAUCUCAGCCGAACUCAUAUAUAUAUAUAUAUAUAUAUAUAUAUAUAUAUAUAUAGAGUGAGGCUACUAUGCUAUCGGAAGCACGGAGCCUUCCGUGCUUUCAACUCGUUUUCGAUGUUGCGACUUUCGAAUCGUCGAUCGGCUCCGUUAAACUUGAUCUAGAGUAUUUGAAGUAUCUAGAAAAUAAAUUUUAUAAUUUUACGAUAUCAUUUACCUAGUGAACGAAGGGGCUCAAAAUCAACGGCUGAAAAUAAAAAUCUUACAAAAUGUAAUAAUAUGACAUUAAAAUUUUAAAUCAAAGAUAUUGAUCUUGUUUUAUAUAGUAUAAAGAAUUUUCUAUCAAAAUUUCACGUGAUUUGGAUAUUUCUACACCGUUAAACUUGCAAACGGCUCACUACGGCCAUUGAAAUUUGUUGAUUUUGAGCGCCUAUUCGAUCAGUAGGCAAAUGAUAUCGAAAAAUAAUAAAAUUUAUUUUCUAGGUACUCCAAUACUCUAGAUCAAGUUUAACGGAGCCGAUCGACGAUUCGAAAGUCGCAAUAUCGAAAACGAGCUGGAAGCACGAAAGACUCCGUGCUUCCGAUAGCAUAGUAGCCUCACUCAUAUAUAUAAUAUAUAUAUAUAUAUAUAUAUAAUUAUAUAUAUAUAUAUAUAUAUAUAUAUAAUAUAUAUAGUUGAACUAGAAUACUAUAGGUAGUAAACGAGCCGUUUUACUACCGAUUUGUUUUCGAUGAUAAGCUUCCAAAUGACGACCGCUCCGUUAAAUAAUGAUCUAACCAUUUAAACUACUUAGAAAUCAAUUUCACGCACUCUUCGAUAUUAUUCUUUUAUCCAUCAAGUGAACAGAAAAUGAAAGGCUGAAAAUGAAUACUCUUUAAAAAAUGAUGAUAGGAGUCUUGUAAUCAAGAUCAAGAGUAUAGAUCUUGUUUUAAAUAGUUUAAAGAAUUUUCUAACAAAAAUUCAAUUGAUUUGGAUAUCUUUACGCCGUUAAACGAGAAAACGCUUCUUAUCGAUCAUUAAAAUUACAAAUUUUGAAACCCUUUGAUCAUUAGGCAAAUGAUAUCGAAAAGAUUUGAAAUUUGAUUUCUAAACACUUCAAGUGGUAUAGAUCAUGUUCAACGGAGCCGAUUGUCAAUUUGGAAGCUCUAUCAUCGAAAACAAAUCGGUAGUAAAACGGCUCGUUUAUUACCGAUAGUAUUCUAGCAAAACUCUCUCUCUAUAUAUAUAUAUAUAGAAAGAGAGAGAGAGAGAGAGAGAGAGAGAGAGAAAGAGAGAGUCUGGCUAUGGUGCUUGUAAAUUUUUUACCGUUAGAUCUAUGCCUUUGAUCAUUUUUAUCCAUUAGAUUAUACUAUUCAACCAACCACCCACACAACCCUAGGGGGCCCACAUCAUCCUAACCGCACAUCCCUUAAUCCAAGGGCCAAAACUUUACAAGCACUAAUAACUUGGUACUUUUAAGAGCUCAAUUCAUAUAUAUAUAUAUAUAUAUAUGAGCUAGGCUCGUAUACUAUCGGUAGCACGGAGGCCUCCGUGUUACCAAGUUGUUUUCAAUGAUGCGGCUUUCAAAUCGACGAUCGGCUCCGUUACACUUAAUCUACACUAUUAAAAGUAUUUGAAAACUAAAUUUUAUAAUUUUUCGACAUCAUUUGGCUAGUGAUCAAAAGGUCUCAAAAUUGACAAUUUUAAUGGUCGAUGUGAUGCGUUUGUGAAUUUAACGGUGUAAAACAAUCCAAAUUUGAUGAAAUUUUUAUAAAAAAUUCUUUUCACCAUUUAGAGUAAGAUCAGUACCUCUGGUCUUAAAUUCAAGUCUUUUAUCAUCAUUUUUUAUGAGAUUUUUAUUUUCAGCCGUUCAUUUUUAGACUACUCGUUUGAUUGGUAAUUGAUGUCGAAAAAUUAUGAAAUUUAGUUUCUAAAUACUUUCAAUAGUGUAGAUCAAGUCUAACGGAGCCGAUCGUCGAUUUGAGAGCCACAUCAUUGAAAACAACUUGAUAGCACGGAGGCCUCCGUGCUACCGAUAGUAUACCAACCUAGCUCUCUCUCUCUCUCUUUAUAUAUAUAGGCUGGGGCUACUAUACUCUCAUGAGUAUAGACCCCCUUGUACUCAUAAAUUUUUAACCGUUGAUUGAUGGGAUGUAUGGUUAGGAUGAUGGCGGUCCCCACUUAGAAUAAUAGGGGUCCCCUAGGGUUGAGUGGGUAGUUGGUUGAAUAGUAUGAUCUAACGGGUGGAAAUGAUCAAUAGAAUAAAUCUAGGAACCGAAAAUUUAUAAGUAUAAAGGAGCCAAUACUCAUAAAAGUAUAGUAGCCGGACUACACACACACACACACACACACACACACACACACACACACAAACAUUUGCACUAGUUAUAUAUUAUAAACAAAAGCAUUAAUAAUGUUUAUGACAUAUAAGCUUUUCUUUGUUGGCAAAUGUUUAUAUGUUAUAAACAUUAAUAAACAAAUGCCCGGAAGUGAAAAAUCUCACAUAUUUGUAUAAAAGUAUUUACUCUAGUUUAUAUAUUAUAAAUAUUAAUAAUACACAUGCGAUGCAUGUGAAAAAACUUCUGAAUUGACAAAUCGAAUUCAAGAAAAUCUUUAAGAUGUGGAAAACUCAUUUAAAUUGACACAUCGUAUUGGAUGAUCACUUCUCGCUUCCACCUCCGAAUAACUAGUUUUGUCUGGAAACCCUAUUGUCGGCAAGCUUUUAUUCCCACUCCUCGCUCCCAUCCCUCUCUCCUUAUUAGCCCCACUUUCUUAAGCCCAACACUUAUUUUCCGACAGCUGCUCAUGGUGGGGGAGAAACGAAAGCAUCCAUCGUCAUCGGAAAAGACUGGCGAAUCGUCCGUGUAGAACUCUAAGAGAGCUCGAUCGACAUCGUCGGGAGGUUAUGCACAUGGUAUACAUUUUCAUGAUGACGUGAUAUUCCUGAUAUUCUCCAAUUUACUAUUUAAAAUAUCUACAUGUGUCGGUGUGUCUCGUGCUGAUUCCAAUGCUUCCUGCUAGCCACGUUUCUUCCAACUCUACUGGGCCCGUAGAAACACAGCGCCUUCGCUCGGUAUAUUUCAAACUUCACUUAACUCACCUAGCUCAACUAACUUCGGUUUACCAAAACCAGUAUUCACCCUGCUUGACCCGCAGAAUAUUAUACAUACGCUCUGUCACGACUUCCGCCUCGACCUCAUUUCGACGGGAAGGCUUUUUGUCUACAACGGCCACCUCCGCCGACUCCUCUCAACCACCGUCAAUCUACUGCUACUGCUUCGAGGACACUUGAAUUACUGGUCUACGACCCUCUCUGGUCGAGCUUUUGCAUUCGGCUACCCACCUCGCUCACUACCCAAGCAAGCACAUCAAGGCCUACAGCAUCCUUCUAGAGGUAGAUCCCAUCGGAGACAUUCUGCGUCUUCAUUGAUAUCCAUUCGGAGCUGAUGUUGCUGCAGCUGAGGAUUUUCUGCUCAGGUGAAUAUGGUUGGAGUCCCAACAUGAGUUUCCACAUACACAGUCCCGACCACUACAACAUCAAUCGGUUGCCGGUUCUUUAUGGGGCCUUUAUGUAUCUCCUGAUCCUCCGUGGCGAUGCACUCCGUGUGGACCUGCGGAGUUCACGUCUGUCCUUAUUUCCGCCUUCGAACGUGCAUGCACUGGAAGAUGAGUACGUUUGGGACGCAAAAGACAACGACAUGGGGCUGAUGCACCUUGACGAUGAGGCUCCGAUCUAGUCGGAGCACGCAGGCAUGGAUUUCCGGCCCCUCGUCCAUUCUUAUGUCGUAUAUUUUUUCGAUAUAGCACUACUAGAAAAUUAGUCAUUAGCGACAUUUAUAUAUGCGGCUAAAAGAUCGACAAAUGUUACUAAAACUUUUAGCAGCAUAUAACACCAAAUACUGCCUAUGCCAAUGUUGCUAAAAGUAUUAGUAGCAUAUAUAAUGAAUGCCGCUAACGUGAAUUAAUUAAUGUUAUUAGAAAUAUGCCGCUAAAAGAGCUGUUAAGUAUUAAUCUUAAAUUGUUAACACUGCAUAUGAAUAUAAUGCCGCUAAUAGAAAUAUAUGAUUUUAGGGAUUCAAAUUUUAAAAUUUUAAUUUUAUUUUAAAUUUAAAUUCAAAUUUAAAUUUAUAUUUGAAUUUUUUUUAGAGAAAUGUAGCAUGCUAUCUGUUUCGUUUAUUUCUUUUAGAAAUAAACUUAGCUGUAAAUGAGAGUCAGCGACAUCGGGCUGGCGCACACCGUGGAGCACCUUUGUUACACGUAGGGGUGUAAACGAGCCGAACACGAGCGAGCUCGAUCGGCUCGUGUUCAGCCUCGUUAAUAGACGAGUCGAACACGCGCUGGCUCGUUAAAGUAUCGAGCGAAAAUUCAGCUCAUGUUCGACUCGUUAUUAACGAGCCAAACAUGAGCUGGCUCAGAGCUGGCCCAACGAACAAUAAAUUAAAAAAAAUAGAUUAAAUAUAUAUAAAAAAAUAAAUUUAUAAAUCUUAUCCAUUAAACUUUGAUUCUAAUAGUUGAAACUUUACAUAUAAAUGAAUUUUUUUUAUAAUUAAACUCGCAUUUAUAUUUUAUUUUACUAAAAAUUAAAUAAUAAAAAUAUAUAGUAUAUAUAAUUAUUUAUUUAUAUAUAAAAAUAUAAAUUAAAUAAAUUAUAUAAAUAUAAAAUAUAUGUAUUCGAGCUGUUAUCGAGCGAACACGAGCGAGUUGACCCAAGCUCGUGUUCGGCUCGUUUAUUAAACGAGCUGAAAAAUCCAGCUCGUGUUCGGCUCGUUUAUAACGAGCGAGCCGAUCUCGAGCCUCAUUUCGAGCCGAACCCGAGCCUGCGCUCGCGAACAGCGAGCUGGAUUGCCACCCCUAGUUACACGGCGGUCUACAACCUGAGGCUCUUCCUCUGGACAGCCACCCACCUCGACGACGAGUCUCCAAUCUUGUCAGAGCCCGCAGGUAUGGAUCUCCAGCCCCUCGUCCAUCCUGAUGUCGUACAUUUCUUCGCUACAGAUGUUGCUACUGUAUUUCCCAAUCGGAGCUGUAUUUUGGUAUUUGCCGAGAUCGCCUGCAUGUUUAUCUUGAAGUUGGGCAUGAAGGUAUACUUUUUUAUCUUCCCACUUUUCCAUAUACAUACAAAAACAUUUGUAAUGGUUAUAUGUUAUAAAAUUAAUAAAAUUUAUUAUAUUAUAAAUAUUAUUAAUAUUUAUAACAAAUAAAUAUUAUUCGAUACAGAUGCUGCUCCUAUAUUUCACAAUUGGUGCUAGAUUUUGACAUUUGCCGAAACUGGACGCAUGCUCAUCCUGAAGUUAGGCAUGGAGGUAUACUUUUAUUCUCUUGGCACUUCCCUAUUAUAGCGUUCUCCCGCACAGCCCAUAGUGGCCUAGUACCCUGGAGUGGCUUAUGAAACGAGCAUCAUAUUCUUCAUCAGAUAGGAUGUUACUUUGUUACAUUAUUUCUACUCGAAAAUUUAGGUGCACUUACGUGUUUUUAGCUGUUGAUAUUACUGUUACAUCCAUAAUUAAUUGUCAUUCGACUUAAAUUGUUUGUUUGUUCCCCAAUAUAACUUUUAGUUAUUUUUCAUAUCUUUAUGUCCGUAUUUUAUAUUUUGAUCCUGCAACUUUUUGAAUUCUGGCCUUUUUGAAAAUCAAGGCCUACAGAAUCUUUCUAGAGGUAGACCUAUCGGAGACAUUCUGUGUCUUCGUUGAUAUCCAUUCAAGCGCAUCAAGGCCUACAGCAUCCUUCUAGAAGUAGACCUAUCGGAGACAUUCCGCAUCUUCGUUUAUAUCCAUUAGGGGCCGAUGCUGCUGCAGCUGAGGAUUUUCUACUUCGGUGAAGAUGGUUGGAGCCCAACAUAAGCUUCCACAUACACAAUCCUUACCACUACAACAUCAAUCGGCCACCGGUUCUCUAUGGGCAUUUUCGUAUCUCCCGAUCCUCUAUGGCGAUGCGCUCCGUGUGGACCUGCGGAGUUCUCCUCUGUUCACAUUUUCGCCUCCGAACAUGAAUGCGCUGGGACAUGAGUACGUUUGGGACGUGAAAAACAACGACAUGAGGCUGGCACACACCGGGGAGCACCUUUGUUACACGGCGUCUACAACCUGAGGCUCUUCCUCUGGACAGCCACCCACCUCGACGACGAGGCUCCGAUCUGGUCAGAGCCCGCAGGUGUGGAUCUUCGGCCCCUCGUCCAUCAUGAUGUCGUACAUUUCUUCGAUACAGAUUUUGCUAUUGUAUUUCCCAAUCGGAGCUGUAUUUUGGCAUUUGUUGAGACCGCCUGCGUGCUCAUCUUGAAGUUGGGCAUGAAGAUAUGCUUUUAUACAUACAAAAACAUUUGCAAUGGUUAUAUGUUAUAAACAUUAAUAAUAUUUAUUAUAUUAUAAACAUUAUUAAUAUUUAUAACAAAUAAAUAUUAUUCGAUACAGAUGCUCUUCCUAUAUUUCACAAUUGAUGCUGUAUUUUGAAAUUUGCCGAAACUGGACGCAUGCUCAUCCUGAAGUUAGGCAUGUAGGUAUACUUUUAUCAUCUUGGCACUUCCCUAUUAUAGCGUUCUCCCGCACAGCCUAUAGUGGCCCAGUACCCCGAAGUGGCUUAUGAAACGAGCAUCCUGUUCUUCAUCAGAUAGAAUGUUAUUUUGUUACAUUAUUUCUACUCGAAAAUUUAGGUGCACUUACGUAUUUUUAGCUGUUGAUAUUACUGUUACAUCCAUAGUUGAUUGUCAUUUGACUCAAAUUGUUUGUUUGUUCCCCAAUAUAACUUUUAGUUAUUUUUCAUAUCUUUAUGUCCUUAUUUUAUAUUUUGAUCCUGCAACUUUUUGAAUUCUGGCCUUUUCAAUACCAAGGCUUACAGAAUCUUUCUAGAGGUAGACCCAUCGGAGACAUUCCGUGUCUUUGUUGAUAUCCAUUCAAGCGCAUCAAGGCCUACAGCAUCCUUCUAGAAGUAGACCUAUUUGAGACAUUCUGCGUCUUCGUUGAUAUCCAUUCGGGGCUGAUGCUGCUGCAGCUGAGGAUUUUCUACUCCGGUGAAUAUGGUUGGAGCCCAACAUAAGCUUCCACAUACACAGUACUUACUACUACAACAUCAAUCGGCCAUCGGUUCUCUAUGGGGCCUUUUUGUAUCUCCUGAUCCUUUGUGGUGAUGCGCUCCGUGUGGACCUGUGGAGUUCACGUCUGUUCACAUUUCCGCCUCUGAACGUGCAUGCGCUGGGAGAUGAGUACGUUUGGGACGUGAAAAACAACGACAUGAGGCUUGGGCAUACCGGGGAGCACCUUUGUUACACGGUUGUCUACAACCUGAGGCUCUUCCUCUGGACAGCCACCCACCUCGACGACGAGGCUCCGAUCUGAUCAGAGCCCGCAGGUGUGGAUCUCCGGCCCCUCAUCCAUCCUGAUGUACUCGUCAAUCUUGUUGUCGUACAUUUUUCGAUAAAGAUGUUGCUACUGUAUUUUCCAAUCGGAGCUGUAUUUUGGUAUUUACCGAGACCGCCUGCGUGCUCAUCUUGAAGUUGGGCUUGAAGGUAUACUUUUUUAUUUUCCCACUUUUUCAUAUACAUACAAAAAUAUUUGCAAUAGUUAUAUGUUAUAAACAUUAAUAAUAUUUAUUAUGUUAUAAACAUUAAUAUUUAUAAAAAAUUAGUAUUUAUUCGAUACAGAUGUUGCUCCUAUAUUUCCCAAUCAGUGCUGUAUUUUGGCAUUUGCCGAAACUGCACGCAUGCUCAUCCUCAAGUUAGGCAUGGAGGUAUACUUUUAUCACCUUGACACUUUUCUAUUAUAACAUUCUCCCGCACAGCCCAUAGUGACCCAGUAUCCCGGAGUGGCUUACGACACGAGCAUCCUGUUCUACAUCAGAUAGGAUGUUACUUUGUUACAUUAUUUCUACUCGAAAAUUUAGGUGCACUUACGUGUUUUUAACUGUUGAUAUUACUGUUACAUCCAUUAUUGAUUGUCAUUUGACUCAAAUUGUUUGUUUGUUCCCCAAUAUAACUUUUAGUUAUUUUUCAUAUCUUUAUAUCCUUAUUUUAUAUUUCGAUCCUGCAACUUUUUGAAUUCUGGCCUUUUCAAUAUUAAGGCCUACAGAAUCCUUUUAGAGGUAGACCCAUCGGGGACAUUCCGUGUCUUCGUUGAUAUCCAUUCGAGCGCAUCAAGGCCUACAGCAUCCUUCUAGAGGUAGACCUAUCGGAGACAUUCCGUGUCUUCGUUGAUAUCCAUUCGGGGCUGAUGCUGCUGUAGCUCAGGAUUUUCUACUCCGGUGAAGAUGGUUGGAGCCCAACAUAAGCUUCCACAUACACAGUACUUACUACUACAACAUCAAUCGGUCACCGAUUCUCUAUGGGGCCUUUUUGUAUCUCCUGAUCCUCUGUGGCGAUGCGCUCCGUGUGGACCUACGAAGUUCGCGUCUGUUCACAUUUUCGCCUCCGAACGUGCAUGCGUUGGGAGAUGAGUACGUUUGGGACGUGAAAAACAACGAUAUGAGGCCGGCGCACAUCGGGGAGCACCUUUGUUACACGGCUGUCUACAACCUGAGGCUCUUCCUCUGGACAGCCACCCACCUCGACGACGAGACUCCGAUCUGGUCAGAGCCCGCAGCUGUGGAUCUCCGGCCCCUCGUCCAUCAUGAUGUCGUACAUUUCUUCGAUACAGAUAUUGCUACUGUAUUUCCCAAUCGGAGCUUUAUUUUGGCAUUUGCCGAGACCGCCUGCGUGCUCAUCUUGAAGUUGAGCAUGAAGAUAUUCUUUUUUUAUCUUCCCACUUUUCCAUAUACAUACAAAAAUAUUUGCAAUGCUUAUAUGUUAUAAACAUUAAUAAUAUUUAUUAUGUUAUAAACAUUAUUAAUAUUUAUAAUAAAUAAGUUUUUAUUCAAUAAAUAUUUAUUAAUAUUUAUAAAUAAGCUUUUAUUCGAUAUAAAUUGCAUUGUUACCCCCUGAACUUCUGGCGUAGGUUCACUUUACCUCUCGAACUUCUAAAAUGGACAUCUAACCUCCUAAACUCUAAUAUUUCGUUCAUGUUACCCUUCUGUCAGUUUUCCGUUAAGCUCCGUUAACUGAAAACUGACGGAAGGGGUAAAACGAAUGAAAUAUUAGAGUUUAGGGUGUUAGAUGUCUAUUCUAAGAGUCUGGGGGGUUAAGUGAAACUAGCCAAAAGUUCAGGGGUAACAAUACAAUUUACCCUAAUUUUUACUAUAAAUUAUUUUUAUAUUUUAAAUUAAAAAUUUCUAAUUGGCUGAAAUGAAGUACAAAAAUUUUAUUUAAGUGUAUUUUAUAGAACAAUGCUUCUAAAGAUAAAAUGGACAAACGAGUACUACAGAAAAUUAACUGAGAAUUAAAAUCUCUAUAUCCGAGUAAGGACACCAAUUGUAAAUCAACCAUAUUAGCGAGUACACCAGGAUAGUAGAGUGUUCGAGCAUCGUAGGUAGUUAGUAUCGCUCUUUUUUUAUCUUUAAAUCACUCUAAUUCAUUUCUUUCACUUUUAUUUUAUUACAAUAAAAUGUAGGAUAAAUCAUGGUAUGAUUUAUUUUAGGUUUAAAAAUAUAUAUAAAUUCAAAAUCAAGCAUGAUCACUAACUUGAGGAUUAGUAGUCAAUCCAUAAGUAACAUAUUAUAAUAAAAUAAUUUAUAGUCAAGAGUCCCUUACGGAGUAAAUUGCACUACUACCUUCUGAACUUUUGACGAGUUUCACUUAACCCCCCAAACUCUUAAAAUAGACAUCUAAAAUCCUAAAGUCUAAUAUUUCAUUCGUUUUACCCCUUCCGUCAGUUUCCGGUUAACGGAGUUUGAUAGAAAACUGACAGAAGGGGUAAUAUGAACGAAAUAUUAGAGUUUAGGGGGUUAGAUGUCCAUUUUAGAAGUUCAAGGGGUAAAGUGAAACUUCGCCAAAAGUUCAAGGGGUAAUAGUGCAAUUUACCCUAAAAUUUAAUAUCUGAUGCAUAUCUGAAUCGGAAAAAAAAAUUAUGGGAAUAUGGUUUCGUCGAAUACCUUUUCACGUUUUUUCUGAUCUGUUUCCAUAAAAACUGGAAAAUUUUGAAAUCAGCCUUCAUUUUUUUCAAUUUUUUUUUAUUAUUAUCAUGGUUAAUCCGCAAUCAAGUCCAACUAAAUCAUUUUUUCUCUUCCUCCAAUUACGAUUCACCGUUUUAUUUUGGAAAAAAAAAAAAUAUCUCGAGAUACCUAAAUUUUAGCUUUUUUAUUAACAAAUUAUUUUGGUAAUUUUUUUAAAAAAAUUAUCAAUAUAUCGGAUAGCUAGAUCGUGAUUAUUGAAUCGCCAAAGGACCUAAUUAUCAAUAUGUUGAUAAUUGGACUGAUUUGUAAUUGUUUCAAAUUAGUGGUAUUAAAGUGUAAAUGUUACAAGAGAGGACUUACUAAUAGUUAGUAAAUUAUAAGAGGAUUUAUGUGCAAAUGUUGUAUUAUUAAUUUGAUAUGUUCAAAUUAAUAUAAAGUUUAAGUCGAAUCAAAUUAGGAUUUGAUCGAUCUAACCAAUUAAGGAAAUGAUAAAUUUAAAUCUAGAUUUAUACAUAUCCUUAAUUAUCAUUAUAUUAUUAGGAAUAGGAUUAUAUUCCUAUAUAUAAUAUAGGGGAGUUUUUAGAAAACCCUAGCCGUCAUCUUUCCUCUCCACUCUCUUCCAUAUUCUAGCAAGAAAGACGUCCUUUUGCAAGGGAGCUAGCACCUCGGUGAGGACAUCGAUCAAAUCAACAACCUUGUAUGGAUACCUAUAGAGGCCGGACGCGUGUGUGGCUUCAAGAGAACUGAAUUCCACGAUCAUCAAAUUGAGGUGAAGAUCUGUCCGCGAAAAAGGUAAAGAUUUGAUUUUUCUAUUCUCCUUUAAUCUUAAAGAACAUGAGCGAUCCUAAUUGCGUGAUUUUUGCGAUUGGAUCUCAAGAGUUUUCAAAAUUAAAUUUGUUUGAUUUCUUUUUCCGCUGUGUUUUUACUGUACGCAAUUUUCUAACACUAGUUCCGUUGCGUCUCGCACAUCGGCGGCAUUCCGCGUCUUCGCUGUUAUCCGGUCGGGAUCGAUACUCCUACAGCUGAUGAUCUUCUGCUCCGAUGGAGAUAGCUGGAGCCCAGUAGGAGCUUCUAGAUGCGCAGCCCCAACCAUUACAACAUCAAUCGGCCGCCGAUUCUCUACAGAGGCCUCCUGCAUAUCCUGAUCCUUCAUUGCGACGUACUCUGUGUAGAUAAGUUCUUUCAUUUUAAGACACCAAUUUAUUAAUUUAAAAAAAAUAUUCAUAUUCUCAAUCAAGCACCAUGAGUUAAUAGUCAUAAUUUUAAAAGUCUUAAAAUGAUAUUUGAAUAUCACUUUUAUAAAUGAAUACUUUAAUAUAUAAAAUAUAACUAUAUUAUUAAACUUUAUCAUAAUUCUUACUAAGAAGAGAAAGAAAAUAUGUAUUUAAUGUAGCUCGCUAAUGACUCUUUAUCUUGUAUCUUCUCAUAUGAAACAAAGAAUUUGAGAUGAUUAAAAUCCAAACUCAAUUAUAUAUAUACACACACACACAAAAACAUUUGCACUGGUUAUAUGUUACAAAUAUUAAUAAUAUUUAUUAUAUUAUAAAUAUUAUUAAUGUUUAUAAUAUAUAAGUUUUAUUUAUUGGUAAAUGUUUAUAUGUUAUAAACAUUAAUAAACAAAUGCCAAGAAGUGAAAAAUCUAAUAUAUUUGUAUAGAAGUAUUUACUCUAGUUUAUAUAUUAUAAAUAUUAAUAAUACACAUGCGUCUCACACUAGCUCUGUUUAAAGAUAUCUACUAGUUCCGUUGCGUCUCGCGCUCAUGCCACUACCUAGUGACUAGCCCCGACUUCCUCUCGAAGUACUCGGUCGCCGAAAAAACUCCCGUUUGCUAGGUGUAUUCCAGACCUUACUUAGCUCGCGUGGCUUUGGUCUACUGAAACCAUAUUUCAGCCUGCUUGACUCGGAGAAUGUUAUCUGGGCUUUCCGUCACAACCUCCGCCUCAACCGCAUUCCGUCGGGGAGGAUUUUUGUCUAUAUCCUUGAUCACAGCAAGAGUGAGCACAUCAAGACCUAUAGUAUCAUGCCGAAAGUAGGGACAUCGGCGACAUUCCGCGUCUUCGCUGUUAUCCGGUCGGGAUCGAUACUCCUACAGCUGAUGAUCUUUUGCUCCGAUGGAGAUGGCUGGAGUCUAGCAUGAGCUUCUAGAUACCCAACCAUAUCCUGAUCCUUCAUUGCGACGUACUCUGUGUAGAUAAGUUCUUUCAUUUUAAGACACCAAUUUAUUAAUUUAAAAAAAUAUUCAUAUUAUCAAUCAAGCACCAUGAGUUAAUAGUCAUAAUUUUAAAAGUCUUAAAAUGAUAUUUGAAUAUCACUUUUAUGAAUGAAUACUUUAAUAUAUAAAAUAUAAUUGUAUUAUUAAAAGCUUUAUCAUAAUUCUUAAUAAAAAGAGAAGAAAAAUAUGUAUUUAAUGUAGCUCGCUAAUGACUCAUUAUUUUGCAUCUUCACAUAUGAAACAAAGAAUUUGAGAUGAUUAAAACCCAAACUCAAUUAUAAAUAUACACACACACAAAAACAUUUGCACUUGUUAUAUGUUAUAAAUAUAAAUAAUAUAUAUUAUGUUAUAAGAGUCCGGCUGGGGUACUAUCAAGUUUUCCACCGUUAGAUUUAACCCUUUGAUUAUUUUUACCCGUUAGAUUAUACUAUUCAACCAACCACUCACUAAACCCUAGGGAGCCCACAUCAUCCUAACCACUCAUUUCUCAAUCCAAUGGCUAAAAAAUCAAUAGCACCAAUAGCUUGGUGCUAUUGAUAGUAUUCCAGCCUAGUUCUAUGUUAUAAACAUUAUUAAUAUUUAUAAUAUAUAAGUUUUUAUUUGUUGGUAAAUGUUUAUAUAUUAUAAACAUUAAUAAACAAAUGUCCAAAAGUGAAAAAUCCAAUAUUUUUGUAUAGAAAUAUUUACUCUAGUUUAUAUAUUAUAAAUAUUAAUAAUACACAUGCGUCUCGCACUGUCUCUGUUUAAGGAUAUCUACCAGUUCCGUUGCGUCUCGCGCUCAUGCUACCACCUAGUGACUAGCCCCGACUUUCUCUGGAAGUACUCGGUCGCCGAAAGAACUCACGUUGGCUAGGUGUAGUCCAGACCUUACUUAGCUCGCGUGGCUCCGAUCUACUGAAACCACAUUUCAGCCCGCUUGACUCGGAGAAUGUUAUCUGGGCUCUCCGUCACGACCUCUAUCUCAACCGCAUUCCGCCGGGGAGGAUUUUGGUCUGUGAUGAUGUCACGCCUCAGAUUACACGUUUCCCCGGGCACACCCACAGACCCGCCGUAUACGAAGGAAUUUUUUCUGCAUACGAAGCGAAGGUGUACUGAAACUGUAAUCAAACAACACUACAACCAGUAGUACAGAGCUGCUAGAAAAGAAAAAGAACUGAAGGAAAACCAAGUUUCAUAUAUAUACAUAACAUCUAGGGUACAAACUGUUCGCACUGGCGAGUUAAACAUCUGUAUGUACAUCAACUCAAACCAAAAUACAACUACCUGCAGAAGGUACUCCACUAGCUCUGGCUCGUCUAACCAAAAUACAACUACCUGCGGAAGGUACUCCACUAGCUCUGGCUCAUCUGGAAGGGCUCUAGCUCGCAACGCCCUUGCCACGAUCGGUCUCGGAAAAUGCAGCAGCCGGAACAGAAGGCUCUGCAAAAGAGGGGUAACAACUGGGCAUGAGAACUACUAUAAAAACAAGUAGUCCUCAGUGGGUGCCGCCCUCAACAUCAUCGGUCCACCCACUAGGUCUACAGAAGGGAGCUGGAAUAGUAAGUAAUGCUGGAUCAGAUCUAUAGCUAAAAUCACUAUACUAUCAUACUCUAACACUAACAAUCUGUAGAAAAAUAUCAAUCCUGACCCAAUCUCACUCGGGACUGUAACCAUAUCCGUCCCAGGGACUGUGAACACAUCCGUCCGGCCUGUCGAAGCUAAAGCGAUCUCCACACUAAGCAGUCAGUGGAUAGCAAGUCCAAACAGGACACCUUGAAUCCAACGCAGAAGCACUAAACCCGACUCCGGAGUGGCACUUAUGGGCGCUACCCAACCGAGUAUGCAAGUGUAUCUCUGUCGAGCUCAAUCAGGCUCUUACAGGCUAUAGUCUAGUACACAGGGUCUAACUGAUCUAAAAACCAACGAGUCACGUGCCCUCGGCACAAACUGAUGCCAAAACGGCAAUAUGGGUCCACCGUCAACCCCAACGGGCCCCAGCAGUCCGGAACAGUCUGAACAAUACUGUAAAAGUAGGCUAGACAUCUCAGCACGAGCGUAACAGCAAUCUACACUACCUGGGGUAUCCACCACGCUGAUACUGCGGCGAUACCAAAUAACAACGGCUCCUAAAGCUAAAUCUGGUAGUGUAAGCAUAUGACGAGGUAUAAUCGCAGUUUUCUCCUAAGUCAUAUCCAAGUCCAAUAUGUGCAAAUAGAUAUAAUCAAGAGGCGAGGCUCCAAUUCAGAUUUUGAAGAUAAAAACACCAAAUCCAUGAAUCGAGCAAUUUCUAUAUACUAAACAACCCGAUAAACACAUGUCGACUAUAUAGCUACUUAGACGGCAAACCGACGAUUAACCCACCUCAAAAGCUACUUCAAAUCCGGCGCGACGUGGAAUCAGCGACAAACCCUGCUCGCCCGGCCUCCCAAUGUAGCAACUACGGUGCUCGUGUACUCGAACGGCUCUGCGGCGCAACGUCGGCGUCGAUCCAACUCCACCCGAGCUCCUCCUUGCUCACGGCCAAGGCUAGAGAGA
rnacentral:lncRNA from 1 species